rnacentral:lncRNA from 1 species
UCUUUUCUCCUGGAAAGUCCACAAAAUACUAUGUGGGGAUAUGGUACAAGAAAAUCUCAGAGCAAACCAUUGUGUGGGUAGCUAACCGAGACUAUUCAUUCACAAAUCCAUCCGUGGUUCUUACUGUCAGCACAGAUGGCAACCUCGAGAUUUUGGAGGGGAAGAUUUCGUACAAGGUGACAAGCAUAUCAUCAAACAGCAACACUAGUGCCACCCUGUUGGAUUCUGGAAAUCUUGUUUUGAGAAAUAAGAAGUCAGAUGUCUUAUGGGAGAGCUUUGACUAUCCAUCGGACACGCUCCUGCCCGGAAUGAAACUUGGAUAUGACAAAAGGGCUGGAAAAAGAUGGUCAUUGGUAUCAUGGAAGAGUAGAGAAGAUCCCAGUCCAGGAGCUUUCUCCAUAGAACAUGACGCGAAUGAAAGUAGCCAGAUUUUUAACCUGCAAGGACCCAAAAUGUAUUGGACUACUGGGGUGUGGGAUGGACAGAUUUUCAGCCAGGUUCCAGAGAUGCGUUUCUUCUACAUGUAUAAGCAAAAUGUAUCCUUUAAUGAGAAUGAAAGCUAUUUUUCUUACUCUCUUCAUAAUCCCUCCAUUCUGAGCAGAGUGGUGCUAGAUGUGUCAGGCCAGGUUAAGCGUCUGAAUUGUCAUGAAGGCGCACAUGAAUGGGAUUUAUUUUGGCUUCAACCAAAAACACAGUGUGAGGUUUAUGCUUACUGUGGGCCUUUCGGAACCUGCACUGGGGAUUCUGUUGAAUUUUGUGAAUGCUUGCCAGGUUUUGAACCUCUCUUCCCUGAAGACUGGAAUCUGCAAGACAGAUCUGGAGGGUGUGUGAGGAAAGCAGAUUUGCAGUGUGUCAAUGAAAGCCAUGCUAAUGGGGAGCGAGACCAGUUUCUUUUGGUGUCUAACGUGAGACUGCCCAAGUAUCCAGUAACACUGCAAGCAAGGAGUGCUAUGGAGUGCGAAUCAAUUUGCCUGAAUCGCUGCUCUUGCUCUGCUUAUGCUUAUGAGGGAGAGUGUAGAAUAUGGGGUGGAGAUCUUGUAAACGUGGAGCAGCUACCAGAUGGUGAAAGUAAUGCUAGAAGUUUCUAUAUCAAACUUGCUGCCUCUGAGCUAAAUAAGAGAGGUAAGAAAAAAGAGUCAUAGUUGUUAUUGUAGGAGGACAUAAAGCAUAUGGGUCUUGUUUUAUUUUCAAAAUAAAAUGGCCAUCGAUUCAGCUAAAUUUAAUAUGAUAUAUUUCCUUCUACAGUUUCAAGCAGCAAGUGGAAGGUAUGGCUAAUUAUUACACUGGCCAUAUCUUUAACUUCAGCCUUUGUCAUUUAUGGGAUAUGGGGAAGGUUCCGAAGAAAAGGUCAGUAUUUCUCAAGGACAGACGGAUGGCCAAGCGAUUCAACCGUUUUUAGGUUCCAUCUACAAAUAAAAAACCAGUUCUUUUCUGAAAUGAGUUCAUUAGCACUGUUAUUGAAUGGUUAAGGUAACAUUAGGAUUUCAUGUUCUGAUUACAUGUGAGUGUGUAUGUGGAAUCCAAUGUGAGAAAUAAUUUAUUCCCAUGCCAGAAUUCCUACAUUCAUAUGAUAUUUAUUGUCUGUUUGUUCUUUACCAAGCAGGGGAAGAUUUGUUAGUAUUUGAUUUCGGUAACAGCUCAGAAGAUACCAGCUAUGAACUUGGCGAGACAAAUAGACUUUGGAGGGGCGAGAAGAAGGAAGUUGAUUUGCCCAUGUUCAGUUUUGCGAGUGUAUCUGCUUCUACAAAUAACUUCUCUAUUGAAAAUAAACUAGGAGAGGGCGGUUUUGGAUCUGUUUACAAGGUGAGAUUACAACCCUUGACAAUAAUGUUCUACAAUUUGUCCUGGAGUGUGAAGGCCCACUUGAUAUAUACCAAAUUUCUUUUACUUGGUGUAAUUGUAGUCACAUGAAAUUCCCAUGACAGGGAAAGUUACAAAGAGGAUAUGAGGUAGCUGUGAAAAGGCUCUCAAAAAGAUCUAAACAGGGAUGGGAGGAGUUAAAAAAUGAAGCCAUGCUUAUAGCCAAGCUGCAACACAAGAAUCUUGUGAAAGUUUUGGGAUACUGCAUCGAGCGGGAUGAGAAGAUAUUGAUUUAUGAGUAUAUGUCCAACAAAAGCUUGGAUUUCUUCCUCUUUGGUUUGUAACUUCCACAUAGAUAUGCUUCCAGCUACUGUAUAUUCAAUGAGAACUUUACACAUUCAUCAUUCUUCACCACUUAUUUGCUAACAUCUAUUUAUUUGGUGUGAAAUGGAAAUAGAUCCUGCAAAACGUGGGAUUCUGAAUUGGGAGAUGCGAGUUCGCAUCAUUGAAGGGGUUGCUCAGGGACUUCUUUAUCUCCAUCAGUACUCCAGAUUGAGAGUUAUUCAUCGAGAUUUGAAGGCUAGCAACAUUCUUCUGGAUAAAGACAUGAACCCAAAAAUAUCAGAUUUUGGAAUGGCAAGAAUUUUUGGAGGAAAUGAAUCAAAAGCAACAAAACAUAUAGUUGGGACUUAGUAAGUGAAUCCUAACGCAUUGUAAAAUAUGUGGAUUGUCUCACAACAUGCUUUUUUUCUACAUGUAUAUUUGUAAUCAUGCAAUUACUAAAUGAAUUGUUUUAAUAAUGAAUCCAGUGGCUACAUGUCCCCCGAGUAUGUUUUGCGAGGUCUCUUUUCAACUAAAUCUGAUGUUUUUAGCUUCGGGGUCUUGUUACUAGAGAUUCUAAGUGGCAAGAAGAUUACUGAAUUUUAUCAUAGUGGCUCGCUCAAUCUUCUUGGAUAUGUAAGUAACACAAUUUUCCUCUUAUGUAGCUAAAGUUAUCAUGUUUACUACUAUAUUUCAAGCUUGAAGUUACACACUUGAAUGCAAUUGACCGAAUUAGGACUAUAUAUCUUUUUUUCUUUUUUCGGGAAUGUGCAUCAAAGUAUAAUUUUCUUUCCUUUAGGCAUGGGAUCUGUGGAAAAACAACAAAGGACAGGAGUUGAUUGAUCCAGUAUUGAAUGAGAUAUCUUUGAGACAUAUUAUGUUAAGGUACAUCAAUGUAGCCCUUCUUUGUGUUCAAGAAAGUGCAGAUGAUAGGCCCACCAUGUUCGAUGUUGUCUCCAUGCUUGUCAAGGAAAAUGUACUUUUAUCUUCUCCAAAUGAGCCAGCCUUCUCAAAUCUAUCGAGUAUGAAACCACAUGCAUCUCAAGAUAGGCUUGAAAUUUGUUCCUUAAAUGAUGUAACACUUUCAAGCAUGGGAGCACGAUAAGUUUUCUAAAUUUCAGAUUGCAUAUGCUUAAAUGUCUUCAGCAUAUUGUCUAGUAUUAUUAUUGGCCAUCAAGUUGAUUGUUGAUGUACUGAACGUGUGAACUUUUGUAUGUAUUUUUCUUUCAAUGCAGUUCAAUAAUGUGCUUAAUUUUACUCAAUCCUCAAGGAUUCAGACCUGUAUCUCAUCUUCCCAUCUGUAAUUGCUACUGAAUCUGUUGGUUUUGAAACUAGAUAAUUAAAAGAAAAACGGAAGCCAGAAAAUUUUUCUCAAAAUUUAAUGAAAUAACAAAUAUAGGUAAUUUAGAAUUGUACCUUGCGAUUAGGCUGAUAAAUUUGAACUCCACCUAAAGGAUCUUAGAAUUCCAAAUCCUCUAAAGCACCAUGGAUCUUUCUCUAACGUUCUCCAAAAAAUGAUGAACUCAAAACGAGUGGGCGUUUAUUAUCUUUGGGUUUUUUUUUAUAUCACACAACUUAAUAUAUUGAAAACUUGUAUUCUCACCCAUCAUCCGAAAAACAUUGAGAAAAAAAAAACUUUUUAAUACCACGAAGAAAAAAAUGACAUAUUUUGAAUUUUGAAAAACAUGGGAGAGAAUAUCUCUCCCCAUGAUCCCCACUUAAAAAGUGUUUCUUUGAAUUUUGAAAAACAUGGGAGAGAAUAUCUCUCCCCAUGAUCCUCACUUAAAAAGUGUUUCUUAGGGAAUACAAGUAAGUGUGGUCUUCACUACAUUGUAUCAAAAAUUAUUUUAAAUAAUCAAAUUAUAAAAUAAAUAAAUCAAAUCAAGAUUGUGUGAAAUUAAUUUAGAAUUCAAAAUUCCAAACUAAUAAAAUCAACCCAACAUAAAAAAAAAUGUUCAUAUAAUUUUAAUGGAGCCGUUGAGAGGAACUAUGGACAUUAUAAUUUUAAGCUCCAAUAAUUUUGACAAUUAAUUAACAACUUAAUUAAAAAAUCAAAAUUAUUAAUUCCAAAAUUACUCCACUAAAAAUUUGGAAUUGCACUCUUAAAAUUAUAAAAUUAAAUAUAUUCAAAGGAUUUGAAUUGCCCAUUAAUAUAGUUACUACAUAUGAGUCAAUCCUCCAUAAACGGUUCAUAAUUAAAGCUAGGUUUUUCCGUUAACCUCUUUAAUUAUAUCUUUCUCCUUAAGUGCCAUUGGUUCUCUAAUGAAUAAUAUAUUUAUGGUCUAAUCAUAAAUUGAGCGCUCUUAUCAUUCAAGGCCCGAACCAAUACUUAUGGUAACCGUCCAUCUGACUUCUUAACGAAGGAAUGAAUUUCAUCUUGUAUAUUAAUAUUCCCGGCUAUUUAUUUUAUUAUACUUCCAAUACACCAAUAAUUUGACACUAUGUAUUUGUGUCAUUACCCGAUAUGUAAAAAAAUACAAUACAAUAAAUAGGAGUCUAUUAAUCACUCAGAAUUAAGAUCAAUGCAUAUAUGACCAUCAUUGAUUAAUAUUGAAUGCUCUAUAUUAUAACGGAAUUUAUUAGAGAUUCAUAAUUAAUCGUGUUCCAGUCCUAUAUAAUCAAAUUAUAUAAAACGCUUUCAUUCCAAUAAUCUCAUUAUUAACAAUCCGGAUAAGAUCAUUUCAUUCAUAAUGUAAUGAACCACGCUAGUAAUUUUAAAUUAAAGAUCCCAACUUUAAUUUUUAAUUACGAACAUAUUAGAUUAUUUUACUUUAAAUGUUAUCCUCCUGUAUAUAACACUUAUAUACAAUAUUUAAAGUUACAAUUAAAUAAUCUAGGGUUUUCGAUAUUUAUAAAGCAUCUAUAACAUGCAUGCAACAAUAAUAUUGAAAUAAUUCCUUAAAAAAAUAUUAAUAAUCAGCAAAAUAAAAAACAUCUCAUUUGUUUAUGGGCACAUAUUCCAACAAAAUCUGCUUUUAUGCAUUGCCAAUCCAGACACUAAAAUACAACCCUCAGAGCUUACUGCAAAUAUUCAACUAGUACUAGGAAAGACGAGCUUUUGCGCAUGAUAUAGCUAAGCAUAAGUACUAAUUAACAUAUAGGCAAGAGGGAAAGUGAGGAAGGAAAGCAGAUAUAGAUUUUUUUGCCUUUUAAACUGUGAUAGCAUCUAGCAUUUUUUUUAAGAGAAGAAAUAGUAUAAUUUAAUUGAGUACUCGUAAAACCUUCUUUUCUUAUUGGACAUGGUUUCAAUAAAACCCAUUUGGUUGCCAAGAAAUCUGAGGAAAUUCCCUUAAUUCUAAGGGUUCAAGAACAAGCCGAGUCCAGCACGACUCGGCCGAGUCGUAUAAACUCAUACUCAAUCAGGAAUCGCUUAAACUCGGUUAACUCAACGGAGAUUCCGAGUUGACUCGGUUGAACCGUUUGUGUUAACAAAAGAAAUCGUUUUUUCACUUUCGAAUCACAGCAGAGGAACAACAAACGAGAUGUAAACCUAAAAAACCUCUCAAAAAUCAAAGAUUGUCUUCAAAAGGAAAAGCUUCUCAACAACCAUGAUGAAGAGGAAGAAAGGCAUCAGUCUAAACCAUGACCGAGUCUUGGAGGUGCACAAGAAGAAGAGGUUGAGGUAUUACUAACUUCAGAACGAUCAUGGAUGUGGAGCGCCUUCGAUGGUCCCGGUGUGGUAACUGGUGUGAUGAGAAGAUUCCCUCCAUUGACGUGAGCGGCCAUCGCUGCAUCUGGUCUCUCCUCUCUCUAAUUUUGGUCUCAGUUCUCGCCUGCUUCUGUCUGCCUUCCUCCCUCUCUCUCUCUCUCUCUCUUUCUCCCUAGUACGGGUGAGUUAGUGAUUUGAAGAAAGGGUGGCAAUCGGUGCCAGAAAAUUGGGGAUUUGAAGACAGGGUGGUCAAUGUUUUAAUAUCACAAUUAUUUAUAAUUGUAUAUGUUAAUAUUAGGUAAUAUAUUAUCAAAUUUUAUAGUCUUUGUUUUUUUUAUGAUAAUAAUUUAUUAUUUUAUAUAUUAAUGGUGUGAUAUAAAUUAUAUUAGCUUAAGUAAAGUAUUAUUUUAUAUGGCAAUGAUAGCAUAUUUGAUGUAUUAAUUUAUUAUUAACAAUAUAUUCAAGUCAUUUAAUAUAUUAUUAUAUUAACAUAUUAAAAUCAUUUAAUUAAUAAUAUAUACUUUGUUUAAUAAAUAUAAUUUUAUAUUAUAUUUAAACAUAAAGUGUUGUAAUCAUUUAAUCAAAAUUAAAAAUAAAAUUAAUGAUUGAAUUAUAUGUCUUUUAGUAAAAAUAUCAUUAUAGUUGAAAUAAAAUAAUUUUCAAUUCCUAACAUUAUCAUAAAUUGUUUUUGUGGAGACUUUAUAACUAUUUAAAUAAUAUUAAAUGUGAAAAAAUUUAUUUUAUAAUUUUUAAGCUUAUUUAAUUAUAUUUGUUUUUGUAAAAAAUUUCAAAAUUUUUUUCUAAUUUAAAAAUUUUUUAGUUAUCUUAUUUUGCAUACCACUUGAUACCAAAUCGAGAUGUUGAGACCGUUAUGCCUUGGGACCCUCCAAAUUAAUGAUUGAUAUCGUCACUUCAAUUAUAUGAAUAUAAAAAAUAAAUAUGUAAAGAAAUACCAUAAGACAUAAUAAUAGUAUUUUAAAAUAUUUUUAGCAUAUUGAUAUAAAUAUAUAUAUAUAUAUAUAAUUAUUUAAUAGUUAUUACUUAUAUUUAAUGGUUUAAAAUAUUUUUUAGUUUUUAAUUAGUAUAUUUUUUGUAUCAAUCAAUAUCGCUUUGACAUCUUAGAUUUAAAUAAUGAAAAUAGUAUCAAUUUUUCAAAAAAAAAGAAAGAAAAAGGAAAUGAUCUUUUAAGGUUAAAGUAUUAAUCUUUAGGUUUAGAUGUUCCCAAACCUUCAAUUCUAAGUGUUGAAGACGACUUCGAAGUUGUUGGAAGUCUUGUAAAUCUACGAUUUUCUAUCUGAUGAUUUGAACCUUGAUCUUAAUGCACUUUUAGUGGAGAUCGAUGGAAGAAAGGGUGGAAACUAUGAGUCUUUCUCUUUGAAGGUGGAAGAUGACUUUCUACAAAAAGUUAUGGAAACUUUAACCCCAAGAUCGAUGUACCUUAAAACCUUUCAAGUCAAUGACCCAUACCGUAACUUUCAACCAUAAGAUGGACACUAAAAAAAAAAAGAAUUAGAGUUGGAUUUGAACACAAACAUCUUUCAAAGAAGAGAAUGUACCUAUCAUUAUGGAAAAUUAUUAUUAAAUUUGGGUGGCAAAAUAUAUCUCCUAUAUUUUAACCCCUACCAUAAGUGACUUUGUGUAAGCGUAAAAAGAAGAACUAUAGAAAAGAUGCCUUAGGUAUUUGCUGAUUAUGAACUAUAUCUAGUAAAAGAUCAUACACGAUGUCCGAAAAACUAUAGAAGAAGAUAAAUCUUGAAGGGAAGAUCAAUGGAAAUGGGUCUAUGACUCGCCACUCCAUGAUUUAUGGGCUGCUUAAACUCUGAUGAUGGGUUAUGGGUAGCAUGAAAAUUUCAGCCAGAGGGUGGUCUGUCAAUCUUGCUUGUUUCUUCAUGUUUUCACUUGGAAUUUGCUAAUGCAUUUAUAGACACAAUCUUACAAGGUCAGUCAAUCACAACUUCUCAAACCAUCGUAUCUGUUGGUGGUGACUUUGAAUUAGGAUUCUUUUCUCUUGGAAACUCCACAAAAUACUAUGUGGGGAUAUGGUACAAGAAAGUGUCAGAGCAAACCAUUGUGUGGGUAGCUAACCGAGGUUAUUCAUUCACAAAUCUAUAUGUGGUUCUUACUAUUAUCCCAGAUGGUAACCUCGAGAUUUGGGAAGGGAAAAUUUCAUACAAGGUGACAAACGUAUCAUUAAAUAGAAACACCGGUGCCACCCUGUUGGAUUCAGGAAAUUUUGUUUUGAGAAAUGAGAAGUCGAAUAUCUUAUGGUAGAGCUUUGACUAUCUAUUGGACAUGAUCUUGCCCAGAAUGAACAUUGGAUAUGACAGAAGGGCUGGAAAAACAUGGUCAUUGGUGUCAUGGAAGAGCACAGAAGAUCCUAGUCCAGGAGUUUUUAUUAGAGAAUUCAUUAUAAUAGAUUUUCUUAUUAGCUUUUUUCCUAUAAUGUGUGGCCAUAUACAAUUAUAUUUGUAUGAAUAUUAUUUAAGGGUAUCAAUUGAUCGGUAGGUGAAUCAAUUGAUUGGGUAUCUAAGAGUCUUAUGUAUGGAAGACUCAAAUUUAUAAAUAGGGAGUUAGAAAAUUUAACUCAUAUGAAUGUGGUGUUACAACUUUUGUAACCCCAUCAUUAUGAAAUUUAUUUGUACAUUAUGUUUAUGAGUAAUAGAGGAAAAUGGAAAAGUAUAACCUAUGCAAUUAUAUAGAUGCAUUCAAGUUCAUACCCCACCAUUACCCAUUAAUUUGUACAUAAUGGGUGUAAAUAAUGAGUAUAACUCCCAUAUAGUCUUUGAUGGGAAGACUAAGAGAUGUAUAAUUUUUUUUAUAAAUUGAGGUCCUAAGCCACACUCUCAUUCUUAUGUCUUUUUGUUGGUUUAUUUUUAACAACAUACACCACACAAGUGACCCAUCCACUAUAUGAGAGUAGUGAGUCGAAGACCUUGCCAAUCCAAUUCACAAGGUAACUCAAUCUCACUUCAAAAGUGUUAUUGAUAUCAUGAAUCAAGGUAAGAAUAUGAUCAUUAUUUGAAUACUUAUAUAUAUAUAUUUUUUUUAUGCAUCCAAAAUGGUUUUAUAAAAUAAUAAUUUCCACAUAAAGUUUAUAAAAGUUUGGUUGACAUUUCUUUCUAUUUUUAAAUUCUUCUAAUUAGUUGUAAUUUCCUAUUUUUUUUUGUAAUAUCCUAAUUUUAGGAUUGUUUCUUAUUUUUGUAUUUUGGGUAGAUUGUUUCCUAUUUUUGUGUUUUAGGUUUUGUGUAUAUAUAUUCAUUCUUAAUCAAUGGAAAAGUCAAGCCAUUGUUUCUCAAUAAUCUUCUACUUCAACAUGGUAUCAAGAGCCUAAUUUUCUUUGGUGUAUUUUCUUCCUUUUUUUUUUCCCUUUUCCUUAAUGGCUUCCAGUGCAUCCUUCUCUUCCACCAACAAUCCUAUCACCAUCCAAAACUCUCAAGAUCCUCAAAAUCCUCUCCUUACAAUCAAUCUCUCCAAUAUCACCAAAUUGUCAUCCAUCAAUUAUCUCACAGGGAGCCUUCAAAUCCAAUCCUUCUUGAAGGUUAUAAUCUUCAUCACUUCAUUGAUGGCGCUCAUACUCCACCACCACCCACCGUCACCGUCACCAUCACUUGUGUUGCAUCCCCAAAUCUAGUAUACACAACCUGGAAGCGUCAGGAUCGUCUCAUCUUUAACGCUCUCCUUGGUGCUAUCUUCGUUUCACUACAACCGCUUAUUGUCUGCACCACCACUUCCCUUGAUGCAUGGCAAACCUUAGUUAAUACCUAUGCCAAACCCUUGAUAAUUUUCUCUCCACCAAUGGUAUAUCCCAUCUUACUACACCACAUACACCUGGACACAAUGGCCUUUCCGAAUGACGUCAUUGUCAUAUUGUUGAAACCGGUCUAUUUCUUCUCACUUAUGCAUCGAUAUCUCUAACUUAUUGGACUUACGCCUUUGCCACUAUUGUAUAUCUCAUCAACUGUAUGCCCACACCCACACUAUAUCUCUCAUCUCCUUUUGACCAACUCUUUGAGUCUCCACCCAACUACACUAAACUUUGGGUGUUUGGUUGCUUAUGUUAUUCGUGGCUUUGUCCUUAUUCUCAACAUAAACUUAACUCUCGUUUCACUUCUUGUGUUUUUCUUGGUUACUCUUCCUACACCACCUAUUAUAUAUUGUGACAAUGUUGGUGCCACCUAUCUCUAUUCUAAUCUAGUCUUUCAUUCGCGCAUGAAACAUGUGGCAAUUGACUAUCACUUUAUUCGGGAUCAAGUUCAAUUAUGUGUUCUUCGUGUUACUCAUGUUUCCUCAACAGAUCAACUUGUCGACGCUCUUACUCAACCGCUUCCACAAAGCUUCUUCCAAGAAUUACGGGUCAAGAUUGGCGUCUCCUCCAGAGCUCUAUCUUGAGGGGGCAUAUUAGAGAAUUUAUUACAAUAGAUUUUCUUUCUAUUUUUAAAUUCUUCUAAUUAGUUGUAAUUUCCUAUUUUUGUUGUAAUCCCCUAAUUUUAGGAUUGUUUCCUAUCUUUGUGUUUUGGGCUAAUUCUAGGAUUGUUUCUUAUUUUUGUGUUUUGAGUAGAUUGUUUCUUAUUUUUGUUGGAAUAUGUGCCCAUAAACAAAUGAGAUGUUUUUUAUUUUGCUGAUUAUUAAUAUUUUUUAAGGAAUUAUUUCAAUAUUAUUGUUGCAUGCAUGUUAUAGAUGCUUUAUAAAUAUCGAAAACCCUAGAUUAUUUAAUUGAAACUUUAAAUAUUGUAUAUAAGUGUUAUAUACAAGAGGAUAAUAUUUAAAGUAAAAUAAUCUAAUAUGUUCGUAAUUAAAAAUUAAAGUUGGGAUCUUUAAUUUAAAAUUACUAGCGCGGUUCAUUACAUUCUGAAUGAAAUGAUCUUAUCCGGAUUGUUAAUAAUGAGAUUAUUGGAAUGAAAGCGCUUUAUAUAAUUUGAUUAUAUAGGACUGGAACACGAUUAAUUAUGAAUCUCUGAUAAAUUCCGUUAUAAUAUAGAGCAUUCAAUAUUAAUCAAUGAUGGUCAUAUAUGCAUUGAUCUUAAUUCUGAGUGAUUAAUAGACUCCUAUUUAUUCUAUUGUAUUUUUUGACAUACCGGGUAAUGACACAAAUACAUAGUGUCAAAUUCUUGGUGUAUUGGAAGUAUAAUAAAAUAAAUAGCCGGGAAUAUUAAUAUACAAGAUGAAAUCCAUUCCUUCGUUAAGAAGUCAGAUGGACAGUUCCCAUAAGUAUUGGUUCGGGCCUUGAAUGAUAAGAACGCUCAAUUUAUGAUUAGACCAUAAAUAUAUUAUUCAUUAGAGAACCAAUGGCACUUAAGGAGAAAGAUAUAAUUAAAGAGGUUAACGGAAAAACCUAGCUUUAAUUAUGAACCGUUUAUGGAGGAUUGACUCAUAUGUAGUGACUAUAUCAAUGGGCAAUUCAAAUCCUUUGAAUAUAUUUAAUUUUAUAAUUUUAAGAGUGCAAUUCCAAAUUUUUAGUGGAGUAAUUUUGGAAUUAAUAAUUUUGAUUUUUUAAUUAAGUUGUUAAUUAAUUGUCAAAAUUAUUGGAGCUUAAAAUUAUAAUGUCCAUAGUUCCUCUCAACGGCUCCAUUAAAAUUAUAUGAACAUUUUUUUAUGUUGGGUUGAUUUUAUUAGUUUGGAAUUUUAAAUUCUAAAUUAAUUUCACACAAUCUUGAUUUGAUUUAUUUAUUUUAUAAUUUGAUUAUUUAAAAUAUUUUUUGAUACAAUGUGGUGAAGACCACACUUACUUGUAUUCCCUAAGAAACACCUUUUGAGUGGGGAUCAUGGGGAGAGAUAUUCUCUCCCAUGUUUUUCAAAAUUCAAAGAAACACUUUUUAAGUGGGGAUCAUGGGGAGAGAUAUUCUCUCCCAUGUUUUUCAAAAUUCAAAACAUGUCAGUUAUUUUUUUUUUCUUCGUGGUAUUAAAAUUUUUUUUUUCUCAAUGUUUCUCGGAUGAUGGGAUGAGAAUACAAGUUUUCAAUAUAUAUUAAGUUGUGUGAGAAAAAAAAACAGAAGAAUGAAAAACGCCCACUCGUUUUGAGUUCAUCAUAAUUUGGAGAACGUUAGAGAAAGAUCCAUGGUGCUUUAGAGGAUUUGGAAUUCUAAGAUCCUUUUGGUGAAGUUCAAAUUUAUUAGCCUAAUCGCAAGGUACAAUUCUAAUUUACCUAUAUUUGUUAUUUCAUUAAAUUAAUACAAGUAUUGAUCAUUGAGAAAAAAUUUUGAGAAAAUUUUUUUGGUUUCCGUUUUUUUCUUUUAUUUAUCUGGUUUCAAAACCAACAAUUGGUAUCAGAGCAGGUUGAUACUCUGUAUUAAUUUAAUGAAUGAUUAUUUGAUAAUCUUUGCAUGGCUUUCGGUAGGCACUUUUGCAUAUUGAUGUUUGUUUAUUUUUAUGUUCAUGGUGAUGAAUGUUUGUGGGAAUGGAUUGGCCGUUUUUUUAUUGGUUCCAUGGAUUUUGUUAUUUUUGUAAUAAUUAUUUUAUUAGAUCUUUUGUAAAUAGGAUUCUUGCUGUAAUUCCUAUUUUAUAAGAUUUUUUGUAAAUAGGUUUACUGUUGUAAUUAUAAAUCGGUUUUGGGUUGAAUUUUAUUGAAUUUGAGAAAUUCAAUGGAGACAACCACAAUUCAAGGAAAUUUGAAUAUUAUUGAAUUUGAGAAAUUCAAUGGAGACAACCACAAUUCAAGGAAAUUUGAAUUUUAUUGAAUUUGAGAAAUUCAAUGGAGACCACCACUUUUCAAGGAGAAGAUGAAGAUGUAAAUUUACAGGAAGACCCAGUUUUAUUAUUUGUAUUUUUUUUAUUUGGGUUGUAUUUAACGUCCAUGGAACCCGACCAUUUCCAUUUUUAUAUUUAUAAAGUUGAUGAUUACUUUGUCCUGCAAGGGGUGGAGCCAGGGGAUUCAAACCCAUGAAGGAUGGGUAUUCCUUGCUAGUACCACCAGGCUAUGGCUUCUGGCUGGUUAUUUAUAUGAAGAAGGUUUAUUUCACGUUGCCCCUAAACUUUAUCCCUGGCUCCACCACAACCCUUGUUUUAGCAUGUCAUUUUAGUUAGAAAAGUGCCUACCUAUUUUUGCAUGUCAUGCAUUCAUGCGUUUAUUUUUAUUUUAUUUUAUAUAAUGUCACAGAUGACUUAAUUUAUAAUUUUAAAUUGUUUAAAAUAUAAAGGCUUAGUAAUUUAAAAUGUUUAAAUUGUCUAAGGUUUAUGAAACAAUAGUUGUUUUAUAAAUUAAAUACACCUUUUGCAAUAUAAUGAGUGGGAGCGGGUAAUAUUACAAUAUAAACCCUAGGUCUCCACCAUUAAUACAACACUGUGAGUUUUUAGUAGCGCUUAGAGACGCUUUGAUUUCGUCCUCCCUACGGAAAGUGUCUACUAAUUUCAAUAACAAGGUUGUCUUCCAUGAGAUAGGAUUUUAAGAUGUAUUUUAGAAUUGACCUACCCUACGACGGCAAUUUCUAAAUUAAAUCUUAAAAAUCUGAUAUGGUGGGUUACACUCAUAAAGAUAUAAUUAAAUUGGUUAAUUAUUUUCUUGACCGAACUUAAAGGAAAUUAAUAAGUAUUAGAAAUAUGAGAUAUUUUGGAUAAUAUUUAUUAAUUGAGAAAGUCUCAUUUUAAUUAGCAGCUUUUUGACCUACCCUACGGCGGCACUUAGUUGUGGUAAUUAAAAUUCCUUAGGCUGUUAAAGUAUAAUUUUUGGUGUAUUUUAUCAUGAGCAUUCUUGCUUCAUAUUUACUUUGCCUUUAAUUUUCUUAUGAUAUUUAUGCAAUUAUUUAUUGAAAAUAUUUCUUAUUUUUGUUCAGCAAAUAUGUCAAACCCAAUUUUCUCACUUCUCGCCUCUCAAGUUUUAACUGGUGAAAACUUUGUAAAAUGGAAGAGCAACAUGAACACUCUUCUCAUUAAUGAGAACUACCACUUUGUCCUUAAGGAGGAUUGUCCUCCAGUGCCUCCAGCUAAUGCCUCCAAGGCUGUCUCAGAAGAGUAUAAUCGUUGGAUUAUUGCAAAUAACAAGACCCGCUGCUACUUGUUAGCAGCAAUGAAUGAAGUGCUUAGAACUAAGCACGAGGGCCUUGAAACUGCAAGAGAGAUUAUGGAAUCUCUACAGCAGAUGUUUGGACGCCCCUCUGAGCAGGCCCGCCACGAAGCUGUGAAAGCUGUUAUGAACAGUAAAAUGAAGAAUGGUUCUUCAGUUCGUGAGCAUGUCCUUAAAAUGAUUCAUCACUUUAAUGAGGCUGAAAUCAAUGGAGCUAAAAUUGAUGAAAAGACCCAGGUUGGCAUGAUCUUAGAGACACUUUCACCCUCUUUCCUCCAAUUCAGGACAAACUACAUCAUGAACCAUAAGAAAUGUAAUUUGACAGAACUCCUGAAUGAGCUGCAAUCUUAUGAGACCCUUAUAGAUGAUAAGGGAGGCAAGGCAAAUAUUGUUGAGGCUAAUGCAGUUGUGGGAAAGGCUUCUUCUUCAAAGAAUAAGAAGAAGAGAAAUGUGAGAAAUCAAAAGGACAAGAAGAAGAUCCAAAAGAAGAAAGGGAAGGCUGUUGAGCCUAAACCUAAGGGGAAAUGUUUCCAUUGCAAUCAAGACAGCCAUUGGAAAAGGAACUGUAAGAAGUACCUUGAUGAGCUGAAACAAAAGAAGAAACAAGGUAAAUUAGAUUUAUUAGUAAUGGAAACAUGCUUAGUUGAGAAUGAUUUCUCAAGCUGGAUUAUUGAUUCAGGAGCAUCUAACCAUGUUUGUAUUUCUUUGAAGAUGCUUGAGUCAUCUAAGGAUCUUGAAGAGGGAGCUUUCAUGAUGAGAGUUGGCAGUGGGGCAAGAGUUUCAGCGACAGCAGUUGGGACAGUACGACUGUCAUUUGCUAAUAAUAAAUAUUUGUUAUUGCACAAUGUUUAUUUUAUUCCGGAUUUCAAAUGGAAUUUGAUUUCGGUUUCAAAGUUACAUGAACAAUUUAUUUCCGUUUCUUUUGAUAUUGACUCUGUUUCAAUCUAUAAGAAUGGAAUGAAUAUUUGUUCAGGUUAUGUUGAUAAUGGUAUAUAUUNNNNNNNNNNNNNNNNNNNNNNNNNNNNNNNNNNNNNNNNNNNNNNNNNNNNNNNNNNNNNNNNNNNNNNNNNNNNNNNNNNNNNNNNNNNNNNNNNNNNNNNNNNNNNNNNNNNNNNNNNNNNNNNNNNAAAUGGAAUAUUAUCACAGCUCACGGCACCUGGGACACCUCAGCAAAAUGGUGUAGCCGAAAGAAGAAAUCGCACUUUGCUUGACAUGAUGAGAUCAAUGAUGAGCUAUUCUUCUCUGCCAACCUCAUUUUGGGGAUAUGCAUUACAAACGGCAGUAUAUAUUCUGAACAUAGUUCCAUCUAAGUCAAUCCCUAACACUCCCCUAGAGUUAUGGAAUGGUCGCAAACCUAGUUUGAGACAUAUUCGCAUAUGGGGGUGCCCUGCGCACGUGUUAAAGGGAAAGACUGGGAAACUAGAACCUCGCUCUGAGGUAUGCAUGUUUGUAGGAUAUCCUAAAGGAACAAGAGGAGGUAUGUUUUAUAGCGCUCAGGAUAACAAAGUAUUUGUGUCAACAAAUGCUACGUUUCUCGAGUAUAACUAUAUGGCAGAUUUUAAACCUAGAAGUAAAGUAGUUCUAGAAGAGUUGCUAGCUGAUGAGAUCAGCCCCAUGCCAACAACAGUUGUUGAACGACAAAGAAAAGAAACCACUGCUCAAGAUCUAACACCACCGCCACCACGACGUAGUGGGAGGGAAAUAAGAUUGCCCAUUCGCUAUCGUGAAAAUGGAGAAGCACAAGUUGCAGUCACUGAUGGCAGUGAUGAUGAUCCAUUGACAUUCAAAAUGGCGAUGGAUGAUGUUGAUCGAGAGAAAUGGUAGGAAGCCAUGAAACUCGAAAUAGAGUCUAUGUACUCAAAUUCAGUCUGGGAACUUGUAGAUCUACCAGAAGGCAUUAAGCCUAUUGGUUGCAAAUGGAUCUAUAAGAGAAAAAGAAGACCUAAUGGGAAAGUAGAGACUUUCAAGGCAAGGCUGGUGGCAAAGGGUUUUACCCAAAAGGAAUGAGUAGACUAUGAUGAUACUUUUUCACCAGUUGCCAUGCUAAAAUCCAUUAGGAUUCUCUUGUCCAUUGCUGCUUAUUAUGAUUAUGAGAUAUGGCAAAUGGACGUCAAGACAGCAUUUUUGAAUGGCCAUCUUGAAGAGACUAUUUAUAUGGUCCAACCAGAGGGUUUCGUGGUCAAAGACCAAGAGUAGAAAGUGUGCAAACUACAAAGGUCCAUUUAUGGACUUAAGCAAGCUUCUAGAUCUUGGAAUAUCAGAUUUAACGAAGCCAUAAAGUCUUAUGGUUUUGAACAAAAUCUGGGUGAACCUUGUGUCUAUAAGCAAAUAGGAGGAGAUAAAGUGGUUUUCUUAGUUCUUUAUGUGGAUGACAUUCUACUCAUUGGAAAUGAUGUAGAAUCUCUAUCCAAGGUAAAGAACUAGCUAGCCAGCCAAUUCCAAAUGAAGGAUUUGGGAGAGGCAAGCUACAUUCUUGGUAUCCAAAUGACUAGGGAUCGUAAGAAUAGGCUUCUGGCAUUGUCUCAGGCAGCAUACAUUGACAAGGUGCUUGUCAAGUUUGCAAUGGAGAACUCUAAGAAAGGGAAUUUGCCUUCUCGACAUGAAGUCCAUCUCUCUAAAGAGCAGUGUCCAAAAACACCACAAGAUGAGGAGAAAAUGAGACGAGUUCCCUACGCAUUAGCAGUUGGUAGUUUGAUGUAUGCAAUGUUGUGUACAAGACCUGACAUAUGCUUUGCAGUGGGAGUGGUUAGUCGAUACCAGUCAAACCCAGGAUUAGAUCACUGGGUAGCAGUCAAGCAUAUACUUAAAUAUCUGAGAAGGACAAGAAACUAUAUGUUGGUAUACUCUGGUAGGGAAUUGAUUCCUAUCGGAUAUACAGAUUCUGAUUUCCAAUCAGAUAGAGACUCUCGGAAGUCUACUUCUGGGGCCGUUUUCACUUUGGGAGGUGGAGCCAUUAUAUGGAGGAGUGUCAAGCAAACUUGUGUUGCUGAUUCAACCAUGGAGGCUGAAUAUGUAGCGGCUUGUGAAGCAGCUAAAGAAGCAGUCUGGCUUCGCGAAUUCUUGAAAGAACUGGAAGUUGUUCCAAAUAUGCAUGAGCCAAUUAGACUCUAUUGUGAUAAUAGUGGAGCAGUGGCUAAUGCCAAAGAACCCAGGAACCAUCGCAAAGGAAAACACAUAGAACGGAAAUUCCACCUGGUAAGAGAGACUGUCAGUAGAGGAGAUGUUUCAGUUGAAAAGAUCGCAUCUGCGAACAACAUAGCUGAUCCAUUCACUAAGACUUUACCAGCUCAGACUUUUGAGCAACAUCUUGAAGGGAUGGGACUUAGAGACAUGUCACAUUUGCUUUAGGGCAAGUGGGAGAUUGUUGGAAUAUGUGCCCAUAAACAAAUGAGAUGUUUUUUAUUUUGCUGAUUAUUAAUAUUUUUUAAGGAAUUAUUUCAAUAUUAUUGUUGCAUGCAUGUUAUAGAUGCUUUAUAAAUAUCGAAAACCCUAGAUUAUUUAAUUGAAACUUUAAAUAUUGUAUAUAAGUGUUAUAUACAAGAGGAUAAUAUUUAAAAUAAAAUAAUCUAAUAUGUUCGUAAUUAAAAAUUAAAGUUGGAAUCUUUAAUUUAAAAUUACUAGCGCGGUUCAUUACAUUCUGAAUGAAAUGAUCUUAUCCGGAUUGUUAAUAAUGAGAUUAUUGGAAUGAAAGCGCUUUAUAUAAUUUGAUUAUAUAGGACUGGAACACGAUUAAUUAUGAAUCUCUGAUAAAUUCCGUUAUAAUAUAGAGCAUUCAAUAUUAAUCAAUGAUGGUCAUAUAUGCAUUGAUCUUAAUUCUGAGUGAUUAAUAGACUCCUAUUUAUUCUAUUGUAUUUUUUGACAUACCGGGUAAUGACACAAAUACAUAGUGUCAAAUUCUUGGUGUAUUGGAAGUAUAAUAAAAUAAAUAGCCGGGAAUAUUAAUAUACAAGAUGAAAUCCAUUCCUUCGUUAAGAAGUCAGAUGGACGGUUCCCAUAAGUAUUGGUUCGGGCCUUGAAUGAUAAGAGCGCUCAAUUUAUGAUUAGACCAUAAAUAUAUUAUUCAUUAGAGAACCAAUGGUACUUAAGGAGAAAGAUAUAAUUAAAGAGGUUAACGGAAAAACCUAGCUUUAAUUAUGAACCGUUUAUGGAGGACUGACUCAUAUGUAGUAACUAUAUCAAUGGGCAAUUCAAAUCCUUUGAAUAUAUUUAAUUUUAUAAUUUUAAGAGUGCAAUUCCAAAUUUUUAGUGGAGUAAUUUUGGAAUUAAUAAUUUUGAUUUUUUAAUUAAGUUGUUAAUUAAUUGUCAAAAUUAUUGGAAGCUUAAAAUUUAAAUGUCCAUAGUUCCUCUCAACGGCUCCAUUAAAAUUAUAUGAANNNNNNNNNNNNNNNNNNNNNNNNNNNNNNNNNNNNNNNNNNNNNNNNNNNNNNNNNNNNNNNNNNNNNNNNNNNNNNNNNNNNNNNNNNNNNNNNNNNNUAAAUAUAUUAUUCAUUAGAGAACCAAUGGCACUUAAGGAGAAAGAUAUAAUUAAAGAGGUUAACGGAAAAACCUAGCUUUAAUUAUGAACCGUUUAUGGAGGAUUGACUCAUAUGUAGUGACUAUAUCAAUGGGCAAUUCAAAUCCUUUGAAUAUAUUUAAUUUUAUAAUUUUAAGAGUGCAAUUCCAAAUUUUUAGUGGAGUAAUUUUGGAAUUAAUAAUUUUGAUUUUUUAAUUAAGUUGUUAAUUAAUUGUCAAAAUUAUUGGAGCUUAAAAUUAUAAUGUCCAUAGUUCCUCUCAACGGCUCCAUUAAAAUUAUAUGAACAUUUUUUUAUGUUGGGUUGAUUUUAUUAGUUUGGAAUUUUAAAUUCUAAAUUAAUUUCACACAAUCUUGAUUUGAUUUAUUUAUUUUAUAAUUUGAUUAUUUAAAAUAUUUUUUGAUACAAUGUGGUGAAGACCACACUUACUUGUAUUCCCUAAGAAACACCUUUUGAGUGGGGAUCAUGGGGAGAGAUAUUCUCUCCCAUGUUUUUCAAAAUUCAAAGAAACACUUUUUAAGUGGGGAUCAUGGGGAGAGAUAUUCUCUCCCAUGUUUUUCAAAAUUCAAAACAUGUCAGUUAUUUUUUUUUUUUUCGUGGUAUUAAAAAAUUUUUUUUUUCUCAAUGUUUCUCGGAUGAUGGGAUGAGAAUACAAGUUUUCAAUAUAUAUUAAGUUGUGUGAGAAAAAAAAACCGAAGAAUGAAAAACGCCCACUCGUUUUGAGUUCAUCAUAAUUUGGAGAACGUUAGAGAAAGAUCCAUGGUGCUUUAGAGGAUUUGGAAUUCUAAGAUCCUUUUGGUGAAGUUCAAAUUUAUCAGCCUAAUCGCAAGGUACAAUUCUAAUUUACCUAUAUUUGUUAUUUCAUUAAAUUAAUACAAGUAUUGAUCAUUGAGAAAAAAUUUUGAGAAAAUUUUUUUGGUUUCCGUUUUUUUCUUUUAUUUAUCUGGUUUCAAAACCAACAAUUUUUGUGUUUUAGGUUUUGUGUAUAUAUAUUCAUUCUUAAUCAAUAGAAAAUUCAAGCCAUUGUUUCUCAAUGAUCCUUUCUCUGCUUCAACAGUUUUCUCCCUGGAGCAUGACCUUAAUGGAACUAGCUAGAUUUUAUCUUGCAAGGGAACAACAGGUACUGGACUAGUGGCGUCCGGGAUGGGCAGGUUUUCAGCCUGCUUCCUGAAAUGCUUUUAGACAAUAUAUUGAAAUACAAUUAUUCCUUUAGUAAGGAUGAGAGCUAUUUCAAUUACUCUCUCUAUAAUUCUUCCAUUAUAAGCAGAGUGGUCCUGGAUGUGUCAGGGCAGAUUAAGCAAAUGACAUGGAUUGAAGACACUCAUCAAUGGAAAUUGUUUUGGUCUCAACCCAGAAGACAAUGUCAGGUUUAUGCUUACUGUGGGCCUUCUAGAAUCUGCAAUCUGGAUUCCUAUGAGUAUUGUGAAUAUUUGCCUGGCUUUGAACCUCGCUCCCCCGGAAACUGGGAAUUGCAAGACAGAUCUGGAGGGUAUGUGAGGAAAGCAGAUUUGCAGUGUGUCAAUGGAAGUCAUGGUGAUGGGGAGAGAGACCAGUUACUUUUGGUGUCUAAUGUAAGACUGCCCGAGUAUCCACUAACAUUGCAAGCAAGAGUGCCAUGGAUUGCGAGUCAGCCAGCCUGAAUAACUACUCUUGCUCUACUUAUGCUUAUGACAACGAGGAGUGUACAGUAUGGAGUGGAGAUCUUCUAAACCUGCAAUAGCUAUCAGAAUCUGACAGUAAUGCUGGAGAUUUCCAUCUCAAACUUGCUGACUCUGAGCAAAAUAGGAGAGGUAAGAAAAAGGGAAUGCUCAUACUAGUUGUUGUAGGACAUAAAGCAUAUAAAAUGGCUAUUGAUUUAGUUAAGUUAAAUGUCAUAUAUUUCCUUCUACAGUUUCAAGCAGCAAGUAGAAGCUAUGGCUCAUUGUUACACUAACCAUUUCUGUAACUUUAGCCUUUGUCACAUUUGGAAUAUGGAGAAGGCUCCAAAGAAAAGGUCAGUAUUUCUCAUGGAUAGAAGAUGACCAAGCAAUUCAAGGCUAUUUAGAUUCCAUCAACACAUACAAAACCAUUUCUUAUCUGAUAUGAAUUCAUUACCAUUGUUGUAGAAUAAUUAAGUUCAUAUUAGAGUUUCAAUCUCCUGAUUACAGUAUUGAAUUAGCUUAUUCCCAUGCCAGAAUUCCUACAUUCUUAUAGAAUUUAAUCUGUUGGUUCUUUACCAAGCAUGGGAAGAUUUGUUACUAUUUGAUUUCAGUGACAGCUCAGAAGAUACCAACCAUGAACUUAGUGAGGCAAAUAAAGGUUGGAGAGGAGAGAAGAAGGAAGUUGAUUUGCCAAUGUUUAGUUGUGCGAGUGUAUCUAUUGCUACCAAUAACUUCUCUAUUGAAAAUAAACUAGGAGAGGGAGGUUUUGGACCAGUUUAUAAGGUGAGCUUAGUAUGACUAACAGUAAUGCCUCUUAGAAAAGAAAUGUGAAAAUUUUUGCUACUGUUCUACAAUCCCUCAACCGUAAAUGCCCAUUAGGCAUACACAAAUUUUCUUUUACUUGGUGUGGUUGUUGUACUUAGUUGAAAUCCCCAUGACAUGGAAAGUCACAAAGAGGAUAUGAGGUAGCUGUGAAAAGACUUUCAAAAAGAUUUGGACAGGGUUGGGAGGAGUUAAAAAAUGAAUCCAUGCUUAUAGACAAGCUUCAACAUAAGAAUCAUGUUAGACUUUUGGGCUGCUGCAUUGAGCUAGAUGAGAAGAUACUGAUUUAUGAGUAUAUGCCCAAUAAAAGCUUAGAUUUCAUCCUUUUUGGUUUGUACUUCUCAACAUAUCUAAACUUUUGUUUAUCCUAAGCUCAAUAAAAAGCUUUUUUCAUUCAUUGUUGUUGGCCUUUUAUUUACUGACACCAGUUUGUAUUUAUUUGGUGUAAAAUUGGGAUAGAUCCUGCAUGACAUGGGAUUCUGGACUAGGAGACACGUCAUUCACAUAAUUGAAGGGGUUGCUAAGGGAUUUCUUGAUCUCCAUCAAUACUCCAGAUUGAGGAUUAUUCAUCAAGAUUUGAAGGUUAGCAACAUGUUUUUGGAUAUGGACAUGAACCCCAAAAUAUCAGAUUUUGGAAUGGCAAGAAUUUUUGGAGGGACUUGGUAAGUGAAUCCUUGCAAACUGUAAGAUACAUGGAUUCUCUCUCUCUCUCUCUCUCUCUCUCUCACACACACACACACACACACACACACACAUAUAUAUAUAUAUACAUUUUUGUCACAAGGCAGCUACUAAAUGAUUUGUUAUAAUAAUGAAAUUUAGUGGCUACAUGUCCCUUGAAUAUGCUUUGGAAGGCCUCUUUUCAACUAAAUCAGAUGUCUUUAGCUCCAGGGUUUUGUUACGGGAGAUUCUAAGAGGCAAAAAAAAAUACCAGAUUUUACCAGAGUGAUUCACUCAAUCUUCUUGGAUAUGUGAGUAACACAAUCUACAAUGUUCUAAUAUACUAAUUCUUGAUUUACUAGUCAGUAAUUUUUCACAUCUUGUUUACUAGUCAAUUUUAAGCUAAAGUUCUUUGCAUGCAAUAAAAAGGACCAUGCAUCUGUUUUUCUUUUUUGGAAAUUUGCAUCAAAAGAACAUUUUCUUUCCUUCAGGCAUGGGAUCUAUGGAAAAACAACAUAGGGCAGGACCUGAUGGAUCCAGUAUUGAAUUGGGAGGCACGGGUUCACAUCAUUCAAGGGAUGGCUCAGGGACUUCUUUAUCUCCAUUAAUACUCUAGAUUGAGAAUUAUUCAUCAAGAUUCGAAGACUAGCAACAUUCUUUUGGAUAAGAACAUGAACAAAACAUAUAGUUGGGACUUAGUAAGUGAAUCAUUAUUAUACUCAUUUUUAUGUGGAAUUUAAAGUUUUAAAAUUUUGUACAAAACAAUUUGCACUUAUAGCUUUUUAAAUAAGAAAACUAUUUUAUAUUUUUAAAAUAAAAUAAUGCAAUUGUGGCAUGUGAAGAAAUUUUUAUUUUUAUGGAUAAAUAUAUUUUACAAAUUUUAUAUCAAUUUCUUUUUUAUUUAUAUCUAUUUAUAUUUUUUUUCAAUGUUUUCAUAAUCGAAUUGGUCAUUGAAUUGAAAAAGUUACUGGUUCACGGUUCAUUGGUUGGAUUGGUGUCGAUCCGUGAUUGAAUCAGUGAUGUUAUAAAUAAGUAAUUUAUAUAUUAUUAAAAUUCAAAAUGUUAUAUAAAAUUUUUUAGAUAUAUAAAAAAAUAAAAAUCAAUAAUAUUUAUUUUUUCAUCUUUAAUAUUAUCAAAUUAACAUAUAUCAAUAAUAUAAUAUUAUCAAUAAAAAAAAUAUUAUCAAGUCCGAAUCGGUGCCUGGUCCACCAGGCUAGUGGUUUUGACCGCCUGUCCGUUGGGCUCAUGAGCGGUCGGCAUUCCGGCCUAAUUAGGCUACCUGGACUGGAUUAAGCUCCAGUUGAUGGUUGAACUGGCCAAUCCAAAACAUUGAUUUUUUUUUUUUAUCUCAAUAUUUGUAUCUUAUUUACUUCAUAUAAACUUGAAAUUAUUAAUUUAAAUAACAAUUAUCCAUUAUCCAUUUAAAACCAGUCAUCCUCACAUUUAUCUCUACACCCAAAUGCCCAUUUCCUAUUGAAAAGUGAAUAUCACAUUGGAUGCAUUGAAUUGUUGUUUCCCUACCACCACCCCUUUUAACUUCUCUUCACUUUGGCAUCACAAACUUAAGCAAUUUUUUUGGGAUGUUGAGAUGAGAUCAUGAGACAAGCGUUCAGAGGACGUGUUGAGAGUUUCUGAUAUCUUCCACGACAGCUAAGACCAUGAAUCUGAAGAGAAAGAACUGAAGAAGAGGGAGGAAAGUGAGAGUUGGUUACUCCCUUAAUUUUCAAAUUUAAAAUGGAUGAUGAAGUCUGAAGAUGUCAUAUUACACAUCCAAUGGGCCCAAUAAAUUCUUGGGUACCUACACAGACUGUUUCGUAGAAUUUUCCUAAAAGAUAUUUUGAAAGGGAGAUCGAUGGAAAGGAGACUUUUACUUACCAGUCGCCGGGCCGCCUCAGAUCCGCUACUGCCUGUUUUGGAUGGCUAUAAGAUUAUUGAUGGGCUGCGUAAACGCUUCUUAUGAGUUAUGGGUAGCAUGGAAUUUUCAACCAGAAGGUGUUCUGCUUAUCUUGUUUUCUUGCUUAUUUCUUCAGGUUUUCACUGGCAAUUUGCUGAUGCAUUUACAGAUACAAUCUUACAAGGUCAGUCAAUUACAACCUCUCAGACCAUCAUAUCUGCUGCUGGUAACUUUGAAUUAGGAUUCUUCAAGCCUGGAAACUCCACAAAUUAUUAUGUGGGGAUAUGGUACAAGAAAAUCUCAGACCAAGUCUCAGACAAAACCAUUGCCUGGGUGGCUAACCGAGAGUAUGCGUUCAAAAAUCCGUCUGUGGUCCUUACUGUCAGCACAGAUGGUAACCUCGAGAUUUUGGAAGGGAAGUUUGCCUACAAGGUGCAAGCAUAUCAUCAAAUAGAAACACAAGUGCCACCCUGUUGGAUUCUGGAAAUGUAGUUUUGAGAAAUGACAACUCAACUAUCUUAUGGCAGAGCUUUGACUAUCCAUCGCACGCUUUCUUGCCGGGGAUGAAAAUUGGAUAUGACAAAAGGGCUGGAAAAACAUGGUCAUUGACGUCAUGGAAGAGCACUGAAGAUCCCAGUCCAAGAGUUUUCUCCGUGGAGCAGGGCCCUAAUGGAACUAGCCAGAUUUUUAUCUUGCAAGGGCCAACAAGGUUCUGGACUAGUGGCAUAUGGGAUGGGCGUACUUUCAGCCUGGCUCCUGAGAUGCUCGAAGACUACAUAUUUAAUUACAGUUAUUACUCUAGUAAGGAUGAGAGCUAUUGGAGUUACUCUCUCUAUGAUUCUUCCAUUAUAAGCAGAUUGGUGCUGGAUGUGUCAGGGCAGAUUAAGCAAAGGAAAUGGCUUGAUUCCUCUCAUCAAUGGAAUUUGUUUUGGGCUCGACCAAGAACAAAAUGUGAGGUUUAUGCUUCCUGUGGGCCUUUUGGAAUCUGCCAUGAGAGUGCAGUCGAUGGAUUCUGUGAAUGUUUGCCAGGUUUUGAACCUGUCUCCCCUAAUAACUGGUACUCGGACGAAGGGUGUGAGGAAAGCAGAUUGCAGUGUGGCAAUACUACUCAUGCUAAUGGGGAGAGAGACCAGUUUCGCAAGGUGUCUAGUGUGACACUACCGAAUUAUCCACUAACACUCCCAGCGAGGAGUGCCCAGGAGUGCAAGUCAGCUUGCCUAAAUAACUGCUCUUGCUCUGCUUAUGCCUACGACAGAGAGACGUGUACAGUAUGGAGUGGAGAUCUUCUAAAUUUGCGACAGCCAUCCCAUUACAACAGUAGUGGUCAAGAUUUCUAUCUCAAACUUGCGGCCUCUGAGCUAAAUGGGAAAGGUAAUAAAAGUAGGGAAUGGUCAAACUUUUUUUGUGGAAGGACAGAGCAUAUGAUUUUCUUUUUCUUAAAUAUAAGAUGAAGUUCAUCAAAGAUUAGUUACAUUUAUUUCUUUUUGCAGUUUCAAGCAGCAAGUGGAAGGUGUGGCUAAUUGUUAUACUGGCCAUUUCCCUAACUUCAGCCUUUGUCAUUUGGGGGAUAUGGAGAAAGCUCCGAAGAAAAGGUCAGUAUUUUUCAUGGAUAGAAGAUGGCCAAGCAAUUCAAGGGUAUUUAGAUUCCAUCUACACAUACAAAACCAUUUGUUUUCUGCAAUGAGCUCAUUACCAUUGUUGUAGAAUAAUUAAGGCCAUAUUAGGAUUUCAAUCUCCUGAUUACAUGUGAGUGUGGACCUGCACUAUAGUGCGAUAAAAAUCAAUAAUGAAUCAAUUUAUUCCCAUGCCAGAAUUCCUACAUUCUUAUGAUACUUGACAGCUGUUUCGUCUUUAUCAAGCAGGGGAAAAUUUGUUACUAUUUGAUUUAAGUAACAGCUCAGAAGAUGCCAACUAUGAACUUAGUGAGGCAAAUAAACUUUGGAGAGGCGAGAACAAGGAAGUUGAUUUGCCAAUGUUCAGUUUUGUGAGUGUAUCUGCUGCUACUAAUAACUUCUCUAUUGAAAAUAAACUAGGAGAGGCGGUUUUGGACCUGUUUACAAGGUGAGAUUAGUAUCUGUGAAUUUUCUUGGUAUGUACAGAGUUUCUUUUACUUGGUGUCAUUGUACUAAGUUAAAAUUCCCAUGACAGGGAAAGUCACAAAAAGGAUACGAUGUAGCUGUGAAAAGGCUUUCAAAAAGAUCAGGAUAGGGAUGGGAGGAGUUAAAAGAAUGAAGCCAUGCUUAUAGCCAAGCUGCAACAUAAGAAUCUUGUGAAGUUGUUUGGUUGCUGCAUUGAGCAAGAUGAGAAGAUAUUGAUUUAUGAGUAUAUGCCCAACAAAAGCUUGGAUUUCUUCCUAUUUGGUUUGUAACUUCUACAUAUCUGAACUUCUUGCUACUGUGUAUUCAAUAAAAAACCAUUCAUUAUUAUUCACCACUUAUUUGCUAACAUGAGUUUGUAUUUAUUUGGUGUAAAAUGGAAAUAGAUCCUGCAAAACAUGGGAUUCUGAAUUGGAAGACAUGGGUUCACAUCAUUGAAGGGGUUGCUCAGGGUCUUCUUUAUCUGCAUCAAUACUCCAGAUUGAGGAUUAUUCAUCGAGAUUUGAAGGCUAGCAACAUUCUUCUAGAUAAGGACAUGAAUCCUAAGAUAUCAGAUUUUGGAAUGGUAAGAAUAUUUGGGAGCAACGAAUCAAAAGCAACAAAUCAUAUAGUUGGGACUUAGUAAGUGAAGCCUAACAAAUUCUAAAAUAUGUGAAUGUUCAUACAACUUUUUUUUUUUUUCUACACAUAUAUUUGAAAUCAUGCAGCUACUAAAUCGUUUUGUGAUUAAUAAUCAAAUUCAGUGGCUACAUGUCCCCUGAGUAUGCAUUGGAAGGCCUUUUUUCGACUAAAUCUGAUGUCUUUAGCUUCGGGGUCUUAUUACUAGAGAUUUUGAGUGGCAAGAAGAAUACUGAAUUUUACCAAAGUGACUCCCUCAAUCUUCUCGGAUAUGUGAGUAACACAAUAUUUCCUCACAUAACUAUUUAUGAUGUUUUGAUAUGCUAAUUCUUUGUUUUCAAUUCCCCUGUUAUAUUACCUAUUUGGUUGUCUUGGGCUAGUAAAUUUUCACAUUAUGUUUACCACUCAGUUUCAAAGCUUAUUUCAUAUCAUUGGCUACUAUAAAAAGGACUUUAUUAUCUUUUACUUUUUGGGAAUUUGCAUCAAUGGAUAAUUUUCUUUCUUUUAGGCAUGGGAUCUGUGGAAAGACAACAGGGGACAGGAGUUGAUGGAUCCAGUGUUGGAAGAGACAUUGCCAACACACAUUCUGUUGAAGUACAUCAAUAUAGGCCUUCUUUGUGUUCAAGAAAGUGCAGAUGACAGGCUUACCAUGUCUGAUGUUGUCUCAAUGCUUGGCAAUGAAAGUGUACGUUUACCCUCUCCAAAACAACCGGCAUUUUCAAAUCUGAGAAGUGGGGUGGCACCACAUAUAUUUCAAAACAGGCCUGAAAUUUGUUCCUUAAAUGGUGUGACACUUUCGAUUAUGGAAGCACGAUAAUGGUUCAGAACUUAAUAAAUAAUAUGCUUAAAUUUCAGCAUAUUGUCUUGCGUUGUUUUUGUGAAUUCAUAGCUCAUGUAUUGAAAUGGACAUGUGAUCUAUGUGUUAAUUUUUCUUCCAAAACAGUUCAAUAAUCAUUCAGACCUGUGUCUAAUAUUUUUAUCUGAAACUGUUAUGAAGUCUGAUUUUAUCCAGUUGAAUUUGGAUUUAAUUUGAUUAUGAUCUGUACCCUCAUCAAUCCAAGGAGUGAAGGACAAUUUUCAGAGCUCAAAAACCAACAAAUGGCGCAUUUAGGGCCAAUCCAUCUAUAGAGAGUCAACUAUCCACCUUCCACUUAUUCUCUUAUAUGUGUUUCCGAAUGCCCUGGCAUAUGUAUAUCUUGCACAGAUUCAAUUCUGUACUACUGUAUAUUUACUAUGAGACUGACUAAGUUCUACUGUUUUGAGAAUAGUGCAGUGUAUAUAUCUUGCCAAGAAUAUUCUAUGGAGCAUAAUUCCUUUGUGAAAUCAGAUGUUUCCAGCUAAGGAGUUGAUUGUGAAUCCUGUGACAAGAGGAACUCGAAAUAUUACCUCUCACUGAGAAUCCUGUGAAUUGAAACCUCCUUAACACCUACCAUAUGAAAAUGAAUGAUUUUUCUUUUCUUUUUUUCUGUAAUUUUAUGUAUUAGCAUGGUAAGUGAAUUCAGUUUUCACUGGGCAUCUGAAAGAAGAUAAUUUGAAACAGUUUUUGGUAUGGGGAAUGGGGUAUGAGGACAAGAUGCUGUAAUUGAUGGAUAUGUCAGUGGGGAAAGAAAUUAUCAGAACCCAGGUGUAGGUAUUAACUUAGCUAUAAUGGGGGAAGGGAGUGAACAGAAGCAGGGUUAGCUUCAAUUUCAGAUUCAUAUCAUACAGUGCUUCAUUCAACUAGUAAUAGCGAAGACAAUUCAGCUACUCAGCAUAGGAGGGAGGAAUUAGUUAAGCAGUUGUAGAUUUUUCGCCUUCCAAAUCCAAAGUGAUCAGACAAUUUUCCAGAAAAAAAAAAAGUGGUAUAACGUUCCCUGUGACUUAUAACACUUCCCAUUUGUUUGGACAUAGUUUGAAUAAAACCCCUUUGGUUGCCAAGAAAACCAAGGAAAAUGCAAAAGAGAAAUAACUUGAAGUCUACAAUUUCUGUAGUUUAUGAUGGAAAGCUCAAGUUCAAGCUCAAGUAAGGCUAAACGAGCCCAUUGACCCUCUCUCAUCUCUACAACAUAGACUUCAAAAGCAAAAUGGGUAAAAUAAUGGUCAUUUAAGGGGCCCUGCGCUUGGCUUGGGAAUCAGUUUCAUUGAAUAUUUUAGGAGAGAUAACAUAUAGCAAGUCAAAAAGUAGAUAAGUACAAACUAAUUUUGCCGUCCAGCAUAGAAAAUCUAAUCCCAGUGGGGCCUUAAGUACAUGAAUUUAGUGUUCUUUCCAUCAUUCUUCUCAUUCUGGUCAUGGUCUAGAUUGAAGAAAGGUCCGAUACAAAUUGGAAAAGUCAUAGAAGGAAAUAUAUCUAGAAGGGAAUCCUAACAAAAGGUCUUUCAAAACUGCUACACCUUGCUUUGCAUCGUAGUUGGUCUCUGCAUUGAAUGAGUCUUUUUUUUUCCUAUGUCCCCUGGAGACAGAAAAUCUGAAAACAUUUCUAAAUGGUUUUCCAAAAUACAGUGCAUGGGAGGUUCCAGGACUUUGAGGGAAAGGAAAGCAGCAGAACCAGCUGGGGAAAAUCAGGUAUCUGAUUUCUUCUAUUAAUUCAUCAGCAUGAAAAGGAUCAUUUCCUGCCACUCUAAUGUUGUUUAAUCUAUUCAACCACGGAAAUUAGGGAAGACUUUGACGAAAAUGAUGCGCGGUCAAGUUCUGCUACCUGCUACAUUGAAUUAUGCUUAUCUAGGGAAGAUGCAUUGAAGUCUUAGAGCAUUUGAGAUUUUUUUUUUCUUUUUUUCUCUUAAGACACAAUUAAUUGUCCAUAAAUUAAUAGCUUGGGAACAAGGAAAAUCAAUUAAUUAAGUGAAUAUUAAUUGCUUAUUAAUUAAUAAAUCAUUAAUUUAUCAAGAUAGUUCUUAUUUUUUCAAAAUAUUGUAUUCAAUAUUAUUUAUUAUAAUUGUUAGGAAGUGUCCCAAUUUCCUAAUUAGUAUAAAUUUAUUUUUUGUAAAGAAUAUUAUAUGAAUGUUUUUAGGUUAAUAUAUUAUUGUAAUAUUAGAUUUUCUUAUAGGGUAAGGAAGGUUGUUGGAAAUAUCUUUGUACAUAUUCUAGGUCAUGAGGAGAAAAAGUUAUGAGAUGGAAAUGACCAUGUAAAGAUUAUACGGGGUAAAUAGAGAUGUGAGAAAGAACGGGAGGUACUCGGUGGAGCGAGAUGACUUGUGGUAGGGUAGGGAUACGAAGAGUAGGAAAACAGGAGAUGUUUUAAGAACCCAAUAAUUGUAUCUGGUUAUGUCCUCUAUAAUGUUUUGGUUCUAUCCUUUGUAAUGUUCUCUAUUGUAUAAUGAAAUGAUUCUCUCUCAUCUGUGGACGCAGACAUGGUUGGUCGGAUGUGAUGAGGGAGCAGCAACACCACUCUUCAUCUCUGAACUAGACUGUGAUGUAGACUUUGGUAUGGAUCUUGACCCCAACUCAACCUCCACCUGUGUGCUUGAUUUUUAUUGCUCUUUAUCACAAGAAUAUCUAAAAGAUGAGUCAUGAAGCAUAGUAGUUUCAUAAAAAAUAACAUCUCUAUUGACCAUGACUUUCUUGGUUUUUAAACACCAUAACUUAUAUCCUUUAACACUAGACUUAUAGCCAAGGAAGACACAUUUUAUAGACCUAGGUUCUAGCUUUCCAUUAUCAACAUGAGUAUAGGCAGGACAUCUAAAUACCUUCAAAUCAGGGUAACUAGCAGGAGUACCAGACCAUACCUCUUGUGGAGUUCUUUUGUUAGUAGUAGUUGAGGGAUAACGAUGAAUGAGGAAACAAGAUGUAGCUUUAGUCCAAAAAGACUUAGGUAAACCAACAAUGGAAAGCAUAUAAUGUACUUUCUCCAUCAAAGUCCUAUUCAUUUGCUUUGCCACACCGUUUUGCUGUGGGGUAUGACGAACUGUAUGAUGCCUCGCGAUUUCUUCUGACUUGCAUAGAACAUUAAAUUCAUAAGAACAAAACUCCAAGCCAUUAUCAGUGCGAAGACGUUUUACCUGCUUCCAUGUCUGCUUCUCAAUCAUAAUUGUCCACUCCUUGAAUGUAGCUAACAUAUCACUCUUUUUCUUCAAGAAGAACACCCAAACUUUUCUGGAAAAAAUCAUCAAUGAUAGUUAACAUAUAACUAACACAUCCCUUAGAAGGCACCCUAGAUGGUCCCCGAAGAUUAGAAUGUAUAUAAUUGAGUGUCCUCUUUGUGUUGUGAAUGCCUUUUGUGAAUUUGACUCUUCUCUGCUUCCCAAAAACGCAGUGCUCAUAGAACUUUAGUUUUCUAAUACUCUAACCAUUAAGAAGUCCUCUUUUGCUCAAUUCAAUCAUCCCAUUCUCACUCAUAUGCCUAAGGCGCAUAUGCCAAAGUCUAGUAACAUCACCAUCUAAUAAGGAAGAAGUAGCAACAACUACAUCACUUAUAACUGUGGAUCCCUACAAGACAUAUAAUUUGGUAGAUCUUUUCUGCCAUUUCAUCACAACAAGAACACAUUUACUAACCUUUAAGACUCCACCUUCACCAGUAUACUUGUACCCUUUUGAAUCAAGAGUACUCAAUGAGAUAAAGUUCCUCUUUAGAUUUGGAAUGUGUCUCAUAUCACCAAACAUAGAUGGACAUUCAAGAAUAAAGAUUAGAAUUAGAUUUGAACCCAAACAUCAUUUAAAUCAGAGAUUGUAUAGGUCAUUAUAGAAGAUUAUUAUUAAAUUUGGCCCGAAAAAUAAAUCUUUUACAUUUUACUCCCUACUAUAAGUGACCUACCACCAGCCUAAAAAGAAGAAAUGUGGGCCUAAUGAGGGUUUUUUUUUUUUUUUUGAUAUUUUCCAUUUAUAUAACUAACUUGAACAAUGGUGUACCCUUAAAAGUAGAAAAGAUCCAUGUAGUAUUCUUCGGUUUAUUAUGGUUAUGUUUGGUUAUGAGAAAAUUUAAAGGAAAAUGUGAAGAAAAGAAAAUAAAAAAGAAAAAUAAAAAGAAAGAAAAUUAAAAAUGGGUUUAAAUUCAAUGAAUUAUUUUUAUAUGCUUCUCCAAACUCAUUUCACUUUUUUUUUUCAUUAUAAUAAGAUUAAAUAAUUUAAAAAUAUAUAAAAUUUUAACUAAUUUUAUUUUAUUUUGUAUUUUUUCAUAAUGAAACUAAAUAUAAGAAAACUAUUUUUCUUAACUUUUUUUUUCUUAAUAUUUUCCAAGAGACUAAAUAUAGCCUAGAUGUAUCUAGUAGAAAGAUCCAACAUGGGGUUGGAAAAAAAUCAUAGAAGAAGAUAUAUCUUGAAGGGGAGAUCAAAGGAUAUUAAAUGGGACUAUGACCCACACCUGAGAUUUAUGGGCUGCUUAAUGGAACAAACCAGAUUUUUAUCCACCAUAUUGAAUAUUGAAUAUGGUAUUCUUCCAAUUAUUAAAUGUAUUCAGCGAAAAGGUCCAAUUGUUAGUAAAAGAAGAACAGGUCAAACUAUCGUACUAGGGUGCUAUGAGUGAGAUUGUGAUUACAUCAACUUUUAAUUAUUUAGAAUAUUGUCCAUUAUAUAUUUUAAUUUUUUAUAAUAUUAAUUUAUUUUAUUGAUUAAGAAUUAUAAUUUAAUGUAUACUUAACAUUAAAAUCUUAUAUAGUUCCAAUUUCAUACAAGUAACUAAAUUUUUUAUAUUGAUCUCAUCUCUGCACCCAAAUGCCCAUUUCCUCUUGAAGAUUAAAAAUUAAAAAUAAAAAUUAAUCCAUCUAACAACCAAGUUAAAAUGUAUUUAUAUAUCAUAAAAAAAAAAAAUCAUCACCGAAUAAACCAAUAACCAUAAAAAUAAAAAUGGAAAAUCAUCUAUAAAUAAAUCAAAACAAAAUAUAAAAAGAAAAUAAUAUUUUCAUGGUUGAUUAACCCUAUGAGUUGGAUGAUAAAAGCGUUAAUAUCGAGUUGGAGGCAAAACCAAUAACCAUCGGAAGAUAUUCUUCGAUUGCUACCACACGGUGCUGUAGAAUUUUCCAAAAGGGAGGCCAGUGUAAAGGAGACGUGCAAGAUGUUCUUCUAUUGCUUCCACACAGUGGUGUCGAAUUUUCCUAGAAGAUAUAUUGAAAGGGAGAUCAGUGGAAAGGAGACUUUGACUCACCGGUCGUUGGGCCUCAGGUCCGCCACUGCCUGUUUUGGAUGACUAUAAAACUAUUGAUGGGCUGCUUAAACGCUGCUUAUGAGUUAUGGUUAACAUGAAAAUUUCAACCAGAAGGUGGUCUGCUAAUCUUGUUUUCUUGCUUAUUUCUUCAGGUUUUCACUGGCAAUUUGUUGAUGCAUUUACAGAUACAAUCUUACAAGGUCAAUCAAUCACAACCUCUCAGACCAUCAUCUCUGCUGGAGGUAACUUUGAAUUAGGAUUCUUUUCUCCUGGAAAGUCCACAAAAUACUAUGUGGGGAUAUGGUACAAGAAAAUCUUAGAGCAAACCAUUGUGUGGGUAGCUAACCGAGACUAUUCAUUCACAAAUCCGUCCGUGAUUCUCACUGUCAGCACAGAUGGCAACCUCGAGAUUUUGGAGGGGAAGUUUUCGUACAAGGUGACAAGCAUAUCAUCAAACAGCAACACUAGUGCCACCCUGUUGGAUUCUGGAAAUCUUGUUUUGAGGAAUGGCAACUCAGAUAUCUUAUGGGAGAGCUUUGACUAUCCAACGGACACACUCCUGCCCGGAAUGAAAAUCGGACAUGACAAAAGGUCUGGAAAAACAUGGUCAUUGGUGUCAUGGAAGAGCGCAGAAGAUCCCGGUCCAGGAGAUUUCUCCGUGCAGGUCGACCCUAAUGGAACUAGACAGAUUUUUAGCCUGCAAGGACCCAACAGGUAUUGGACUACUGGGGUGUGGGAUGGGCAGAUUUUCAGCCAGAUUCCUGAGUUGCGUUUCUACUACUUUUAUAAGUACAAUACAUCCUUUAAUGAGAAUGAAAGCUAUUUCACUUACUCUUUUCAUGAUCCCUCCAUUCUGAGCAGAGUGGUGGUAGAUGUGUCAGGCCAGGUUAGGAAACUGAAAUGGCAUGAAGGCACACAUGAAUGGCAUUUAUUUUGGCUUCAACCAAAAAUACAGUGUGAGAUUUAUGCUUACUGUGGGCCUUUUGGAACCUGCACUCGGGAUUCUGUUGAAUUUUGUGAAUGCUUACCAGGUUUUGAACCUCGCUUCCCUGAAGACUGGAAUCUGCAAGACAGAUCUGGAGGGUGUGUGAGGAAAGAAGAUUUGCAGUGUGUCAAUGAAAGCCAUGCUAAUGGGGAGCGAGACCAGUUUCUUUUGGUGUCUAACGUGAGACUGCCCAAGUAUCCAGUAACACUGCAAGCAAGGACUGCUAUGGAGUGCGAAUCAAUUUGCCUGAAUCGCUGCUCUUGCUCUGCUUAUGCUUACGAGGGAGAGUGUAGAAUAUGGGGUGGAGAUCUUGUAAACGUGGAGCAGCUACCAGAUGGUGACAGUAAUGCUAGAAGUUUCUACAUCAAACUUGCUGCCUCUGAGCUAAAUAAGAGAGGUAAGAAAAAAGAGUCAUAGUUGUUAUUGUAGGAGGACAUAGAGCAUAUGGGUCUUGUUUUAUUUUCAAUAUAAAAUGGCCAUGGAUUCAGCUAAAUUUAAUAUGAUAUAUUUCCUUCUACAGUUUCAACCAGCAAGUGGAAGGUAUGGUUAAUUGUCACACUGGCCAUAUCUUUAACUUCAGUAUUUGUCAAUUAUGGGAUAUGGCGAAGGUUCCGAAGAAAAGGUCAGUAUUUCUCAUGGACAGAAGGAUGGCCAAGCAGUUCAACAGUUUUUAGGUUCCAUCUGCAAAUACAAAGCCAGUUCUUUUUUUAAAAUGAGUUCAUUACCACUGUUAUUGAAUAAUUAAGGUAACAUUAGGAUUUCAUGUUCUGAUUACAUGUGAGUGUGUAUGUGGAAUCCAAUGUGAGAAAUAAUUUAUUCCCAUGCCGGAAUUCCUACAUUCUUAUGAUAUUUAAUGUCUGUUUGUUCUUUACCAAGCAGGGGAAGAUUUGUUAGUAUUUGAUUUCGGUAACAGCUCAGAAGAUACCAACUGCUAUGAGCUUGGCGAGACAAAUAGACUUUGGAGGGACGAGAAGAAGGAAGUUGAUUUGCCCAUGUUCAGUUUUGCGAGUGUAUCUGCUUCUACAAAUAACUUCUGUAUUGAAAAUAAACUAGGAGAGGGCGGUUUUGGAUCUGUUUACAAGGUGAGAUUAUAACCCCUGACAAUAAUGUUCUACAAUUUGUCCUGGAAUGUAAAGGCCUACUUGAUAUAUACCAAAUUUCUUUUACUUGGUGUAAUUGUAGUCUGUUGAAAUUCCCAUGACAGGGAAAGUCACAAAGAGGAUAUGAGGUAGCUGUGAAAAGGCUCUCAAAAAGAUCUAAACAGGGAUGGGAGGAGUUAAAAAAUGAAGCCAUGCUUAUAGCCAAGUUGCAACACAAGAAUCUUGUGAAAGUUUUGGGAUACUGCAUCGAGCGGGAUGAGAAGAUAUUGAUUUAUGAGUAUAUGUCCAACAAAAGCUUGGAUUUCUUCCUCUUUGGUUUGUAACUUCCACAUACAUAUGCUUCCAGCUACUGUAUAUUCAAUGAGAACUUUAUACAUUCAUCAUUCUUCACCACUUACUUGCUAACAUCUAUUUUUUUGGUGUAAAAUGGAAAUAGAUCCUGCAAAACGCGGGAUUCUGAAUUGGGAGACGCGAGUUCACAUCAUUGAAGGGGUUGCUCAGGGACUUCUUUAUCUCCAUCAGUACUCCAGAUUGAGAGUUAUUCAUCGAGAUUUGAAGGCUAGCAACAUUCUUCUGGAUAAAGACAUGAACCCUAAAAUAUCAGAUUUUGGAAUGGCAAGAAUUUUUGGAGGAAAUGAAUCAAAAGCAACAAAACAUAUAGUUGGGACUUAGUAAGUGAAUCCUAACGCAUUGUAAAAUAUGUGGACUGUCUCAUAACAUGCUUUUUUUCUACAUAUAUAUUUGUAAUCAUGCAAUUACUAAAUGAAUUGUUUUAAUAAUGAAUCCAGUGGCUACAUGUCCCCCGAGUAUGUUUUGCGAGGUCUCUUUUCAACUAAAUCUGAUGUUUUUAGCUUCGGGGUCUUGUUAUUAGAGAUUCUAAGUGGCAAGAAGAUUACUGAAUUUUAUCAUAGUGACUCGCUCAAUCUUCUUGGAUAUGUAAGUAACACAAAUUUCCUCUUAUGUAGCUAAAGUUAUCAUGUUUACUACUAUAUUUCAAGCUUUAAGUUACAUACUUGAAUGCAAUUGACCGAAUUAGGACUAUAUAUCUUUUUUUCUUUUUUCGGGAAUGUGCAUCAAAGUAUAAUUUUCUUUCCUUUAGGCAUGGGAUCUGUGGAAAAGCAACAGAGGACAAGAGUUGAUUGAUCCAGUAUUGAAUGAGAUAUCUUUGAGACAUAUUCUGUUAAGGUACAUCAAUGUAGCCCUUCUUUGUGUUCAAGAAAGUGCAGAUGAUAGGCCCACCAUGUCCGAUGUUGUCUCCAUGCUUGUCAAGGAAAAUGUACUUUUAUCUUCUCCAAAUGAGCCGGCCUUCUUAAAUCUAUCGAGUAUGAAACCACAUGCAUCUCAAGAUAGGCUUGAAAUUUGUUCCUUAAAUGAUGUAACACUUUCAAGCAUGGGAGCACGAUAAGUGUUCUAAAUUUCAGAUUGCAUAUGCUUAAAUGUCUUCAGCAUAUUGUCUAGUAUUAUUAUUGGCCAUCAAGUGGAUUGUUGAUGUACUGAACGUGUGAACUUUUGUAUGUAUUUUUCUUUCAAUGCAGUUCAAUAAUGUGCUUAAUUUUACUCAAUCCUCAAGGAUUCAGACCUGUAUCUCAUCUUCCCAUCUGUAAUUGCUACUGAAUCUGCUUUUAUGCAUUGCCAAUCCAGACACUAAAAUACAACCCUCAGAGCUUACUGCAAAUGUUCAACUAGUGCUAGGAAAGACGAGCUUUUGCGCAUGCUACAGCUAAGCAUAAGUACUAAUUAACAUAUAGGCAAGAGGGAAAGUGAGGAAGGAAAGCAGCUAUAGAUUUUUUUGCCUUUUAAACUGUGAUAGCAUCUAGCAUUUUUUUUAAGAGAAGAAAUAGUAUAAUUUAAUUGAGUACUCGUAAAACCUUCUUUUCUUAUUGGACAUGGUUUCAAUAAAACCCAUUUGGUUGCCAAGAAAUCUGAGGAAAUUCAGGAUGUGGAUGGGGAAUUUGAAGUCUACCUUCGUCCCUAUAGCUUAAAAUGAAAAGGCAUAGUUACAAACUAAGCUUACAUUCUGGCAGAAACGUAUAUAUUCCCUAUUGGGGCUUGCAGUAGGAGAUUGACCUGGAAGCCAACCAGAAAAGACAUGCAUCUAUGAUUAAAAGGAGCUCAUGCUCACAAGAAACUUUCUCUCUAUCCAAUGUGGGAUAUGACACCCUGAAGUAUGAAUAUCACUACUUACUAUUGCUAGCUAUGGACAAGGAAAAAAAAACAAGAGAAGGAAAAAAAACGAAAGGAGGAAUAAGCAAAAUGAUGUCCAAGGAUUCAAAAUUGUUUACAGUAAUUGGCCAGAAGCUAGAUCAAUUUCAUGAAAAUAUUUAAUUCCCCAAAAUUAAGAGUAAGUUUUUCCCAACAAAAUUGUUAUUUUUUUAAUUCCCUUAAUCCUAUGGGUUCAAGAACAAGCCGAGUCCAGUACGACUCGGCCGAGUCGGAUAGACUCAUACUCAAUCAGGAAUCGCUUAAACUCGGUUAACUCAACGGAGAUUCCGAGUUGACUCGGUUGAACCGUUCGUGUUAACAAAAGAAAUCGUUUUUUCACUUUCGAAUCUCAGCAGAGGAACAACAAACGAGAUGUAAACCUAAAAAACCUCUGAAAAAUCAAAGAUUGUCUUCAAAAGGAAAAGUUUCUCAACAACCAUGAUGAAGAGGAAGAAAGACAUCAGUCUAACCCAUGACUGAGUCUUGGAGGUGCACAAGAAGAAGAGGUUGAGGUAUUACUAACUUCAGAACAAUCAUGGAUGUGGAGCGCCUUCGAUGGUCCCGGUGUGGUAACUGGUGUGAUGAGAAGAUUCCCUCCAUUGACGUGAGCGGCCAUCGCUGCAUCUGGUCUCUCCUCUCUCUAAUUUUGGUCUCAGUUCUCGCCUGCUUCUGUCUGCCUCCCUCCCUCCCUCUCUCUCUCUCUCUCUCCCUGGUACGGGUGAGUUAGUGAUUUGAAGAAAGGGUGGCAAUCGGUGCCAGAAAAUUGGGGAUUUGAAGACAGGGUGGUCAAUGUUUUAAUAUCAAAAUUAUUUAUAAUUGUAUAUGUUAAUAUUAGGUAAUAUAGUAUCAAAUUUUAUAGUCUUUGUUUUUUUUUAUGAUAAUAAUUUAUUAUUUUAUAUAUUAAUGGUGUGAUAUAAAUUAUAUUAGCUUAAGUAAAGUAUUAUUUUAUAUGGCAAUGAUAGCAUAUUUGAUGUAUUAAUUUAUUAUUAACAAUAUAUUCAAGUCAUUUACUAUAUUAUUAUAUUAACAUAUUAAAAUCAUUUAAUUAAUAAUAUAUACUUUGUUUAAUAAAUAUAAUUUUAUAUUAUAUUUAAACAUAAAGUGUUGUAAUCAUUUAAUCAAAAAUAAAAAUAAAAUUAAUGAUUGAAUUAUAUGUCUUUUAGUAAAAAUAUCAUUAUAGUUGAAAUAAAAUAAUUUUCAAUUCUUAACAUUAUCAUAAAUUGUUUUUGUGGAGACUUUAUAACUAUUUAAAUAAUAUUAAAUAUGAGAAAAUUUUAUUUUAUAAUUUUUUAGCUUAUUUAAUUAUAUUUGUUUUUCUAAAAAAUUUCAAAAUAUUUUUGUAAUUUUAAAAUUUUUUAGUUAUCUUAUUUUGCAUACUGCUCUAUACCAAGUCGAGAUGUUGAGACCGUUAUGCCUUGGGACCCUCCAAAUUAAUGAUUGAUAUCGUCACUUCAAUUAUAUGAAUAUAAAAAAUAAAUAUGUAAAGAAAUACCAUAAGACAUAAUAAUAGUAUUUUAAAAUAUUUUUAGCAUAUUGAUAUAUAUAUAUAUAAUUAUUUAAUAGUUAUUAAUUAUAUUUAAUGGUUUAAAAUAUUUUUUAGUUUUUAAUUACUAUAUUUUAUGUAUCAAUCAAUAUCGCACUGACAUCUUAGAUUUAAAUAACGAAAAUAGUAUCAAUUUUUGAAAAAAAAAAAAAAAAAAAAGGAAAUGGUCUUUUAAGGUUAAAGUAUGAAUCUUUAGGUUUAGAUGUUCCCAAACCUUCAAUUCUAAGUGUUGAAGACGACUUCGAAGUUGUUGGAAGUCUUGUAAAUCUACGAUUUUCUAUCUGAUGAUUUAAACCUUGAUCUUAAUGCACUUUUAGUGGAGAUCGAUGGAAGAAAGGGUGGAAACUAUGAGUCUUUCUCUUUGAAGGUGGAAGAUGACUUUCUAGAAAAAGUUAUGGAAACUUUAACCCCAAGAUCGAUGUACCUUAAGACCUUUCAAGUCAAUGACCCAUAACAUAACUUUCAACCAUAAGAUGGACACUAAAAAAAAAAGAAUUAGAGUUGGAUUUGAACACAAACCUCUUUCAAAGAAGAUAAUGUACCUAUCAUUAUGGAAAAUUAUUAUUAAAUUUGGGUGGCAAAAUAUAUCUCUUAUAUUUUAACCCCUUCCAUAAGUGACUUUGCGUAGCCGUAAAAAGAAGAACUAUAGAAAAGAUGCCUUAGGUAUCUGCCGAUUAUUAACUAUAUCUAGUAAAAGAUCUUACACGGUGUUUGAAAAACUAUAGAAGAAGAUAAAUCUUGAAGGGGAGAUCAGUGGAAAUGGAUCUAUGACUCGCCACUCCAUGAUUUAUGGGCUGCUUAAACUUUGAUGAUGGGUUAUGGGUAGCAUGAAAAUUUCAGCCAGAGGGUGGUCUAUCAAUCUUGCUUGUUUCUUCAUGUUUUCACUUGGAAUUUGCUGAUGCAUUUAUAGAUACAAUCUUACAAGGUUAGUCAAUCACAACUUGUCAGACCAUUGUAUCUAUUGGUGGUGACUUUGAAUUAGGAUUCUUUUCUCCUGGAAACUCCACAAAAUAUUAUGUGGGGAUAUGGUACAAGAAAGUGUUAGAGCAAACCAUUAUGUGGGUAGCUAACCGAGGUUAUUCAUUCACAAAUCUGUAUGUGGUUCUUACUGUCAUUCCAGAUGGUAACCUCGAGAUUUGGGAAAGGAAAAUUUCAUACAAGGUGACGAACGUAUCGUCAAAUAGAAACACCAGUGCCACCCUGUUAGAUUCAAGAAAUUUUGUUUUGAGAAAUGAGAAGUUGGAUAUCUUAUGGUAGAGCUUUGACUAUCUAUUGGACAUGAUCUUGCCUAGAAUGAACAUUGGAUAUGACAGAAGGCUGGAAAAACAUGGUCAUUGGUGUCAUGGAAGAGCACAGAAGAUCCUAGUCCAGGAGUUUUUAUUAGAGAAUUCAUUACAAUAGAUUUUCUUGUUAGCUUUUUUCCUAUAAUGUGUGGCCAUAUACAAUUAUAUUUGUAUGAAUAUUAUUUAAGGGUAUCAAUUGAUAGGUAGGUGAAUAAAUUGACUGGACAUCCAAGAGUCUUGUGUAUGGAAUACUCAAAUUUAUAAAUGGGGAGUUAGAAAAUUUAACUCAUAUGAAUGUGGUGUUACAACUUUUGUAACCCCAUCAUUAUGAAAUUUAUUUGUACAUUAUGUUUAUGAGUAAUGGAGGAAAAUGGAAAAGUAUAACCUAUGCAAUUAUAUAGAUGCAUUCAAGUUCAUAACCUAUCAUUACCCAUUAAUUUGUACAUAAUAGGUGUAAAUAAUGAGUAUAACUCCCAUAUAGUCUUUGAUGGGAAGACUAAGAGAUGUACAAUUUUUUUUAUAAGUUGAGGUCCCAAGCCACACUCUCAUUCUUAUGUCUUUUUGUUGGUUUAUUUUUAACAACAUACACCACACAAGUGACCCAUCCACUUUAUGAGAGUAGUGAGUCGAAGACCUUGCCAAUCCAAUUCAUAAGGUGACUCAAUCUCACUUCAAAAGUGUUAUUGAUAUCAUGGAUCAAGGUAAGAAUAUGAUCAUUAUUUGAAUACUUAUAUUUAUUUUGUUUUAUGCAUCCAAAAUGGCUUUAUAAAAUAAUAAUUUCAGCAUAAAGUUUAUAAAAGUUUGGUUGACAUUUCUUUCUAUUUUUAAAUUCUUCUAAUUAGUUGUAAUUUCCUAUUUUUGUUGUAAUCCCCUAAUUUUAGGAUUGUUUCCUAUCUUUGUGUUUUGGGCUAAUUCUAGGAUUGUUUCUUAUUUUUGUGUUUUAGGUUUUGUGUAUAUAUAUUCAUUCUUAAUCAAUGGAAAAGUCAAGCCAUUGUUUCUUAAUGAUCCUCUCUCUGUUUCAACAGUUUUCUCCCUAGAGCAUGACCCUAAUGGAACUAGCCAGAUUUUAUCUUGCAAGGGAACAGCAGGUACUAGACUAGUGGCUUCCGGGAUGGGCAGGUUUUCAGCCUGCUUCUUGAAAUGCGUUUAGACAAUAUAUUGAAAUACAAUUAUUCCUUUAGUAAGGAUGAGAGCUAUUUCAAUUACUCUCUCUAUAAUUCUACCAUUAUAAGCAGAGUGGUCCUGGAUGUGUCAGGGCAGAUUAAGCAAAUGACAUGGAUUGAAGACACUCAUCAAUGGAAAUUGUUUUGGUCUCAACCCAGAACACAAUGUCAGGUUUAUGCUUACUGUGGGCCUUCUAGAAUCUGCAAUCUGGAUUCCUAUGAGUAUUGUGAAUAUUUGCCUGGUUUUGAACCUCGCUCCCCCGGAAACUGGGAAUUGCAAGACGGAUCUGGAGGGUAUGUGAGGGAAGCAGAUUUGCAGUGUGUCAACGGAAGUCAUGGUGAUGGGGAGAGAGACCAGUUUCUUUUGGUGUCUAAUGUAAGACUGCCCGAGUAUCCACUAACAUUGCAAGCAAGAGUGCCAUGGAUUGCGAGUCAGCCAGCCUGAAUAACUGCUCUUGCUCUGCUUAUGUUUAUGACAGCGAGGAGUGUACAGUAUGGAGUGGAGAUCUUCUAAACCUGCAACAGCUGUCGGAUUCUGACAGUAAUGCUGGAGAUUUCCAUCUCAAACUUGCUGACUCUGAGCAAAAUAGGAGAGGUAAGAAAAAGGGAAUGCUCAUACUAGUUGUUGUAGGACAUAAAGCAUAUAAAAUGGCUAUUGAUUCAGUUAAGUUAAAUGUCAUAUAUUUCCUUCUACAGUUUCAAGCAGCAAGUAGAAGCUAUGGCUCAUUGUUACACUAGCCAUUUCUGUAACUUUAGCCUUUGUCACAUUUGGAAUAUGGAGAAGGCUCCAAAGAAAAGGUCAGUAUUUCUCAUGGAUAGAAGAUGACCAAGCAAUUCAAGGCUAUUUAGAUUCCAUCAACACAUACAAAACCAUUUCUUGUCUGAUAUGAAUUCAUUACCAUUGUUGUAGAAUAAUUAAGUUCAUAUUAGAGUUUCAAUCUCCUGAUUACAGUAUUGAAUUAGCUUAUUCCCAUGCCAGAAUUCCUACAUUCGUAAGGAAUUUAGCAUCUGUUUGUUCUUUACCAAGCAGGGGAAGAUUUGUUACUGUUUGAUUUCAGUGACAACUCAGAAAAUACCAACCAUGAACUUAGUGAGGCAAAAAAGGUUGGAAAGGAGAGAAGAAGGAAGUUGAUUUGCCAAUCUUCAGUUUUGCGAGUGUAUCUGCUGCUACCAAUGACUUCUCUAUUGAAAAUAAACUAGAAGAGGGAGGUUUUGGACCAGUUUAUAAGGUGAGCUUAGUAUGACUAACAGUAAUGCCUCUCAGAAAAGAAAUGUGAAAAUUUUUGCUACUGUUCUACAAUCCCUCAACUGUAAAUGCCCAUUAGGCAAACACAAAUUUUCUUUUACUUGUGUGGUUGUUGUACUCAGUUGAAAUCCCCAUGACAAGGAAAGUCACAAAGAGGAUAUGAGGUAGUUGUGAAAAGACUUUCAAAAAGAUCUAGACAAGGUUGGGAGGAGUUAAAAAAUGAAACCAUGCUUAUAGCCAAGCUCCAACAUAAGAAUCUUGUUAGACUUUUGGGCUGCUGCAUUGAGCUAGAUGAGAAGAUAUUGAUUUAUGAGUAUAUGCCCAAUAAAAGCUUAGAUUUCUUCCUUUUUGGUUUGUAGUUCUCAACAUAUCUAAACUUUUGUUUAUCCUAUGCUCAAUAAAAAGCUUUUUUCAUUCAUUGUUGUUGGCCUCUUAUUUACUAACACCAGUUUGUAUUUAUUUGGUGUAAAAUAGGGAUAGAUCCUGCAAGACAUGGGAUUCUAGAUUGGGAGACACACAUUCACAUAAUUGAAGGGGUUGCUCAGGGAUUUCUUUAUUUCCAUCAGUACUCUAGAUUGAGGAUUAUUCAUUGAGAUCUGAAGGCUAGCAACAUUCUUUUGGAUAUAGACAUGAACCCCAAAAUAUCAGAUUUUGGAAUGGCAAGAAUUUUUGGAGGAAAUUAGUUGAUAGCAACAAAUCAUAUUAUCGGGACUUGGUAAGUGAAUCCUUGCAAACCGUAAAAUAUGUGGAUUCUCACAUAACAUGGCCUUUCUUUUAUAUAUAUAUAUAUACAUUUUUGUCACAAGGCAACUACUAAAUGAUUUGUUCUAAUAAUGAAAUUCAGUGGCUACAUGUCCCUUGAAUAUGCUUUCGAAGGCCUCUUUUCAACUGAAUCAGAUGUCUUUAGCUUCAGGGUCUUGUUACGGGAGAUUCUAAGAGGCAAAAAGAAUACCAGAUUUUACCAGAGUGACUCACUCAAUCUUCUUGGAUAUGUGAGUAACACAAUCUACAAUGUUCUAAUAUGUUAAUUCUUGAUUUACUAGUCAGUAAAUUUUCACAUCUUGUUUACUAGUCAAUUUUAAGCUGAUGUUCUUUGCAUGCAAUAAAAAGGACUAUACAUCUGUUUUUCUUUUUUGGAAAUUUGCAUCAAGAGAACAUUUUCUUUUCUUCAGGCAUGGGAUCUGUGGAAAAACAACAUAGGGCUGGACUUGAUGGAUCCAGUAUUGAGUUGGGAGGCACGGGUUCACAUCAUUCAAGGGGUGGCUCAGGGGACUUCUUUAUCUCCAUUAGUACUCUAGAUUGAGAAUUAUUCAUCGAGAUUUGAAGACUAGCAACACUCUUUUGGAUAAGAACAUGAACAAAACAUAUAGUUGGGACUUAGUAAGUGAAUAGUAACACAUUGUAAACAAUUCAAAACAUGUUAAAACAUUAUCAUACUCAUUUUUAUGUGGAAUUUAAAUUUUUAAAAUUUAGUACAAAACAAUUUGCGCUUAUAGCUUUUUAAAUAAGAAAACUAUUAUAUAUUUUUAAAAUAAAAUAAUGCAAUUGUGGCAUGUGAAGAAAUUUUUAUUUUUAUGGAUAAAUAUAUUUUACAAAUUUUAUAUAAAUUUAUUUUUUAUUUAUAUAUAUAUUUUUUUCAAUGUUUUUAGAAUCAAAUCAAUCAUUGAAUCAAAAAAGUUAUUGGUCCACGAUUCAUUGGUUGGAUCGGUGGUCGAACCAUGAUUGAAUUAGUGAUGUUAUAAAUAAGUAAUUUAUAUAUUAUUAAAAUUAAAAAUAUUAUAUAAAAUUUUUUAGAUAUAUAAAAAAAUAAAAAUCAAUAAUAUUUAUUUUUCAUCUUUAAUAUUAUCAAAUUAACAUAUAGAUAUAUUAAUAUUUUAACAUUUGAUUAAAUAAUAUAUAUAUAUAUAGAUAAUAUUUAAAUAUAAAAAUAUUUGUUGAAGGUUAUUUAAUUUCCUUUAUAUAUGUUACACUAUUUUAUUUAUAUUAUUUACAUUUUCACUCUUAUUCAAAAUUUAUGAGAAUUUUAUUAUAUAACGUUGUUGUGUCUGGCAUGUAUAUAACACGCACAGCAAAGUGGUGGUGUGUAUGCGUUUUGAACCCAAGGUUAGUUGUUCAAACCCAUGAGCUGCAGCCCAAGAUAUGGCACAUCUUGCACUAUGUUUGAGCCCAUUUUACCCAAUAAAAAUAUCCAUGAAAGAAGAGAAAACUCAUGAGCGGGCCGGCAUUCCGGCCCAAUUAGGCUACCCGGACUGGAUUAGGCUCCAGUUGAUGGUUGAACUGGCCAAUCCAAAACAUUGAUUUUUUUAUCUCAAUAUUCGUAUCUUAUUUAUUUCAUAUAAACUUUGAAAUUAUUCAUUUAAAUAACAAUUAUCCAUUAUCCAUUUAAAACCAAUCAUCCUCACAUUUCCAAAUGAAAAGUGAAUAUCACAUUGGAUGCAUUGAAUUGUUGUUUCCCUACCACCACCCCUUUUAACUUCUCUUCACUUUGACAUCACAACUUAAAACUAUUUUUUUGGGAUGUUGAGAUGAGAUCAUGAGACAAGCGUUCAGAGGACGUGUUGAGAGUUUCUGAUAUCUUCCACGACAGCUAAGACCAUGAAUCUGAAGAGAAAGAACUGAAGAAGAGGGAGGAAAGUGAGAGUUGGUUACUCCCUUAGUUUUCAAAUUUAGAAUGGAUGAUGAAGAUGUCAUAUUACACAUCCAAUGGGUUCAAUAAAUUCUUGGGUACCUACACAGACUGUUUCGUAGAAUUUUCCUAAAAGAUAUUUUGAAAGGUAGAUCGAUGGAAAGGAGACUUUGACUUACCAGUCGCCGGGCCGCCUCAGAUCCGCUACUGCCUGUUUUGGAUGGCUAUAAUAUUAUUGAUGGGCUGCGUAAACGCUGCUUAUGAGUUAUGGGUAGCAUGAAAUUUUCAACGAGAAGGUGUUCUGCUAAUUAUCUUGUUUUCUUGCUUAUUUCUUCAGGUUUUCACUGGCAAUUUGCUGAUGCAUUUACAGAUACAAUCUUACAAGGUCAGUCAAUCACAACCUCUCAGACCAUCAUAUCUGCUGCUGGUAACUUUGAAUUAGGAUUCUUCUCGCCUGGAAACUCCACAAAUUAUUAUGUGGGGAUAUGGUACAAGAAAGUCUCAAACCAAACCAUUGUCUGGGUGGCUAACCGAGAGUAUGCGUUCAAAAAUCGGUCUGUGGUUCUUACUGUCAGGACAGAUGGUAACCUCGAGGUUUGGGAGGGGAAAAUUUCAUACAGGGUGACAAGCAUAUCAUCAAAUAGCAAAACUAGUGCCACCCUGUUGGAUUCUGGAAAUCUUGUUUUGAGAAAUGACAACUCGAGUAUCUUAUGGCAAAGCUUUGACUAUCCAUCGGACACUUUCUUGCCGGGGAUGAAACUUGGAUACGACAAAAGGGCUGGAAAAACAUGGUCAUUAGUGUCAUGGAAGAGCUCAGAAGAUCCCAGUCCAGGAGUUUUCUCCCUGAAGUACGACCCUAAGGGAACCGGCCAGAUUUUUAUCUUGCAAGGGUCCACAAUGUACUGGGCUAGUGGCACCUGGGACAGGGAUGGGCAGGUUUUCAGCUUGAUUCGUGAGAUGCGCUUAAACUAUAUGUUUAAUUUCAGUUAUUCGUUUAGUAAGGAGGAGAGCUAUAUCAAUUACUCUAUUUAUGAUUCUUCAACUAUAAGCAGAUUGGUGCUGGAUGUGUCAGGGCAGAUUAAGCAAAUGGCAUGGCUUGAAGCCUCUCAUCAAUGGCAUAUGUUUUGGUUUCAACCAAAAACGCAAUGUGAGGUUUAUGCUUACUGUGGGCCUUUUGGAAUCUGCAAUGAUAGUGCAGUUGAUGGAUUUUGUGCAUGUUUGCCAGGUUUUGAACCUGCCUCCCCUAAUAACUGGAACUCGGGUGACAAAUCUGGAGGGUGUGUGAGGAAAGCAGAUUUGCAGUGUGGCAAUAGUACUCAUGCUAAUGGGGAGAGAGACCAGUUUCAUCGGGUGUCUAAUGUGAGACUGCCAGAGUAUCCACUAACACUCCCAACGAGUGGUGCCAUGCAGUGCGAGUCAGAUUGCCUAAAUAACUGCUCUUGCUCUGCUUAUUCUUACAACGUGAAGGAGUGUACAGUAUGGGGUGGAGAUCUUCUAAACUUGCAACAGCUAUCAGAUGACGACAGUAAUGGUCGAGAUUUCUAUCUCAAACUUGCGGCCUCUGAGCUAAAUGGGAAAGGCAAUAAAAGUAGGGAAUGGUCAAACUUUUUUUUGUAGAAGGACAGAGCAUAUGAUUUUCUUUUUCUUAAAUAUAAGAUGAAGUUCAUCAAAGAUUAGUUACAUUUAUUUCUUUUUGCAGUUUCUAGCAGCAAGUGGAAGGUGUGGCUAAUUGUUACACUGGCCAUUUCCCUAACUUCGGCCUUUGUCAUUUGGGGGAUAUGGAGAAAGAUCCGAAGAAAAGGUCAGUAUUUUUCAUGGAUAGAAGAUUAUCAAGCAAUUCAAGGGUAUUUAGAUUCCAUCUACACAUACAAAACCAUUUGUUUUCUGCAAUGAGCUCAUUACCAUUAUUGUAGAAUAAUUAAGGCCAUAUUAUGAUUUCAACCUCCUGAUUACAUGUGUGUGUACCUGCACUACAGUGUGAUAAAAAUCAAUAAUGAAUCAAUUUAUUCCCAUGCCAGAAUUCCUACAUUCUUAUGAUACUUGACAUCUGUUUCUUCUUUAUCAAGCAGGGGAAAAUUUGUUACUAUUUGAUUUCAGUAACAGCUCAGAAGAUACCAACUAUGAACUUAGUGAGGCAAAUAAACUUUGGAGAGGCGAGAAGAAGGAAGUUGAUUUGCCAAUGUUCAGUUUUGCGAGUGUAUCUAUUGCUACUAAUAACUUUCUAUUGAAAAUAAACUAGGAGAGGGUGGUUUUGGACCAGUUUACAAGGUGAGAUUAGUAUUUGUGAAUCUUCUUGGUAUAUACAAUUUUUCUUUUACUUGGUGUCAUUGUACUAAGUUGAAAUUCCCAUGACAGGGAAAGUCACAAAAAGGAUAUGAGGUAGCUGUGAAAAGGCUUUCAAAAAGAUCUGGACAGGGAUGGGAGGAGUUAAAGAAUGAAGCCAUGCUUAUAGCCAAGCUGCAACAUAAGAAUCUUGUGAAGCUGUUCGGCUGCUGCAUUGAGCAAGAUGAGAAGAUAUUGAUUUAUGAGUAUAUGCCCAACAAAAGCUUGGAUUUCUUCCUAUUUGGUUUGUAACUUCUGGCUACUGUAUAUUCAAUAAAAAACCAUUCAGUAUCAUUCACCACUUAUUUGCUAACAUGAGUUUAUAUUUAUUUGGUGUAAAAUGGAAAUAGAUUCUGCAAAUCAUGGGAUUUUGAAUUGGGAGACACGGGUUCACAUCAUUGAAGGGGUUGCUCAGGGUCUUCUUUAUCUACAUCAGUACUCUAGAUUGAGGAUUAUUCAUCGAGAUUUGAAGGCUAGCAACAUUCUUCUAGAUAAGGACCUGAAUCCUAAAAUAUCAGACUUUGGAAUGGCAAGAAUAUUUGGGAGCAACGAAUCAAAAGCAACAAAUCAUAUAGUUGGGACUUAGUAAGUGAAGCCUAACAAAUUCUAAAAUAUGUGAAUGCUCAUACAACUUUUUUUUUUCUUUUUUCUGCACAUAUAUUUAGAAUCAUGCAGCUACUAAAUCAUUUUGUAAUUAAUAAUCAAACCCAGUGGCUACAUGUCCCCUGAGUAUGCUUUGGAAGGCCUCUUUUCGACUAAAUCUGAUGUCUUUAGCUUCGGGGUUUUAUUACUAGAGAUUUUGAGUGGCAAGAAGAAUACUGGAUUUUACCAAAGCGACUCCCUCAAUCUUCUCGGAUAUGUGAGUAACACAAUAUUUCCUCAUUGGUUGUCUUGGGCUACUGGUAAAUUUUCACAUUAUGUUUACCACACAGUUUGAAAACUUAUUUCAUAUGAUUGGCUACUAUAGAAAGGACUUUAUUAUCUUUUACUUUUUAGGAAUUUGCUUCAAUGGAUAAUUUUCUUUAUUUUAGGCAUGGGAUCUGUGGAAAGACAGCAGGGGGCAGGAAUUGAUGGAUCCAGUGUUGGAAGAGGCAUUGCCAAGACACAUUCUGUUGAAGUACAUCAAUAUAGGCCUUCUUUGUGUUCAAGAAAGUGCAGAUGACAGGCCUACGAUGUCUGAUGUUGUCUCAAUGCUUGGCAAUGAAAGUUUACAUUUACCUUCUCCAAAACAACCGGCAUUUUCAAAUCUGAGAAGUGGGGUGGAACCACAUAUAUUUCAAAACAGGCCUGAAAUGUGUUCCUUAAAUAGUGUGACACUUUCAAUUAUGGAAGCACGAUAAUGGUUCAGAACUUAAUAAAUAAUGUGCUUAAAUUUCAGCAUAUUGUCUUGCGUUGUUUUUGUGAAUUCAUAGCUCAUGUAUUGAAAUGGACAUGUAAUCUGUGUGAAUUUUUCUUCCAAAACACUUCAAUAAUCAUUCAGACCUGUGUCUAAUAUUUUUAUCUGAAACUGUUAUGAAGUCUGAUUUUAUCCAGUUGAAUUUGGAUUUAAUUUGAUUAUGAUCUGUACCCUCAUCAAUCCAAAGAGUGAAGGACAAUUUUCAGAGCUCAAAACCAACAAAUGGCACCUUUAGGGCCAAUCCAGCUAUAGAGAGUCAACUAUCCACCUUCCACUUAUUCUCUUAUAUGUGUUUCCAAAUGCCCUGGCAUAUGUAUAGCAUGUACAGAUACAGUUCUGUACUACUGUAUAUUUACUACGAGACUGACUAAGUUCUACUGUUUUGACAAUAGUGCAGUGUAUAUAUCUUGCAAGAAUAUUCUAUGGAGCAUAAUUCCUUUGUGAAAUCAGAUGUUUCCAGCUAAGGAGUUGAUUGUGAAUCCUGUGACAAGAGGAACUCGAAAUAUUACCUCUCACUGAGAAUCCUGUGAAUUGAAACCUCCUUAACAUCUACCAUAUGAAAAUGAAUGAUUUUUUUUUUUUUUUUUUCUGUAAUUUUAUGUAUUAGCAUGGUAAGUGAAUUCAGUUUUCACUGGGCAUCUGAAAGAAGAUAAUUUGAAACAGUUUUUGGUAUGGGGAAUGGGGUAUGAGGACAAGAUGCUGUAAUUGAUGGAUAUGUCAGUGGGGAAAGAAAUUAUCAGAACCCAGGUGUAGGUAUUAACUUAGCUAUAAUGGGGGAAGGGAGUGAACAGAAGCAGGGUUAGCUUCAAUUUCAGAUUCAUAUCAUACAGUGCUUCAUUCAACUAGUAAUAGCGAAGACAAUUCAGCUACUCAGCAUAGGAGGGAGGAAUUAGUUAAGCAGUUGUAGAUUUUUCGCCUUCCAAAUCCAAAGUGAUUAGACAAUUUUCCAGAAAAAAAAAAGUGGUAUAACGUUUCCUGUGACUUAUAACACUUCCCAUUUGUUUGGACAUAGUUUGAGUAAAACCCCUUUGGUUGCCAAGAAAACCAAGGAAAAUGCAAAAGAGAAAUAACUUGAAGUCUACAAUUUCUGUAGUUUAUGAUGGAAAGCUCAAGUUCAAGCUCAAGUAAGGCUAAACGAGCCCAUUGAGCCUCUCUCAUCUCUACAACAUAGACUUCAAAAGCAAAAUGGGUGAAAUAAUGGUCAUUUAUGGGCCCCUGCGCUUAGCUUGGGGAUCAGUUUCAUUGAAUAUUUUAGGAGAGAGAACAUAUAUCAAGUCAAAAAGUAGAUAAUUACAAACUAAUUUUGCCGUCCAGCAUAGAAAAUCUAAUCCCAGUGGGGCCUCAAGUACAUGAAUUUAGUGUUCUUUCCAUAAUUCUUCUCAUUCUGGGCAUGGUCUAGAUUGAAGAAAGGUCCGAUACAAAUUGGAAAAGUCAUAGAAGGAAAUAUAUCUAGGAGGGAAUCCUAACAAAAGGUCUUUCAAAACUGCUACACCUUGCUUUGAAUGGUAGUUGGUCUCUGCAUUGAAUGAGUUUUUUUUUUCCUAUGUACCCUGGAGACAGAAAAUCUGAAAACAUUUCUAAAUGGUUCUCCAAAAUACAGUGCAUGGGAGGUUCCAAGACUUUGAGGGAAAGAAAAGCAGCAGAACCAGCUGGGGAAAAUCAGCAUGAAAAGGAUCAUUUCCUACCACUCUAAUGUUGUUUAAUCUAUUCAACCACGGAAAUUAGGAAAGACUUUGACGAAAAUGAUGCGAUCGCGGUCAAGUUCUGCUACCUGCUACAUUGAAUUAUGCUUAUCUAGGGAAGAUGCAUUAAAGUCUUAGAGCAUUUGAGAUUUUUUUUUUCUUUUUUUCUUUUAAGACACAAUUAAUUGUCCAUAAAUUAAUAGAUUGGGAACAAGGAAAAUCAAUUAAUUAAGUGAAUAUUAAUUGUGUAUUAAUUAAUAAAUCAUUAAUUUAUCAAGAUAGUUCUUAUUUUUUCAAAAUAUUGUAUUUAAUAUUAUUUAUUAUAAUUGUUUGGAAGUGUCCCAAUUUCCUAAUUAGUAUAAAUUUAUUUUUUGUAAAGAAUAUUAUAUGAAUAUUUUUAGGUUAAUAUAUUAUUGUAAUAUUAGAUUUUCUUAUAGGGUAAGGAAGGUUAUUGGAAAUAUCUUUAUACAUAUUCUAGGUCAUGAGGAGAAAAAGUUAUGAGAUGGAAAUGGGUAUGUAAAGAUUAUACGGGGUAAAUAGAGAUGUGAGGAAGAACGGGAGGUACUCGGUGGAGCGAGAUGACUUGUGGUAGGGUAGGGAUACGAAGAGUAGGAAAACAUGAGAUGUUUCGAGAACCCAAUAAUUGUAUCUGGUUAUGUCCUCUAUAAUGUUUUGGUUCUAUCCUCUGUAAUGUUCUCUAUUGUAUAGUGGAAUGAUUCUCUCUCAUCUGUGGACGCAGACAUGGUUGGCCAGAUGUGAUGAGGGAGCAGCAACACCACUCUUCAUCUCUGAACUAGACUGUGAUGUAGACUUUGGGAUGGAUCUUGACCCCAACUCAACCUCCACCUGUGUGCUUGAUUUUUGUUACUCUUUAUCACAAGAAUCUCUAAAAGAUGAGUCAUGAAGCAUAGUAGUUUCAUAAAAAAUAACAUCUCUAUUGACCAUGACUUUCUUGGUUUUUAGACACCAUAGCUUAUAUCCUUUAACACUAGAAUUAUAGCCAAGGAAGACACAUUUUAUAGACCUAGGUUCUAGUUUUCCAUUAUCAACAUGAGUAUAGGCAGGACAUCUAAAUACCUUCAAAUCAAAGUAACUAGCAGGAGUACUAGACCAAACCUCUUGUAGAGUUCUUUUGUUAAUAGUAGUUGAGGGAUAACGAUGAAUGAGGAAACAAGAUGUAGCUUUAGUCCAAAAAGACUUAGGUAAACCAACAAUGGAAAGCAUACAAUGUACUUUCUCCAUCAAAGUCCUAUUCAUUUGCUCUACCACACCGUUUUGCUGCGAGAUAUGACGAACUAUAUGAUGCCUUGCGAUUUCUUUUGACUUGCAUAGAUCAUUAAAUUCAUAAGAACAAAACUCCAAGCCAUUAUCAGUGCGAAGACGUUUUACCUGCUUCCAUGUCUGCUUCUCAAUCAUAAUCGUCCACUCCUUGAAUGUAGCUAACAUAUCACUCUUUUUCUUCAAGAAGAACACCCAAACUUUUUUGGAAAAAUCAUCAAUGAUAGUUAACAUAUAACUAACACCUCCCUUAGAAGGCACCCUAGAUGGUCCCCGAAGAUUAGAAUGUAUAUAAUUGAGUGUCCUCUUUGUUUUGUGAAUGUCUUUUGUGAAUUUGACUCUUCUCUGCUUCCCAAAAACGCAGUGCUCAUAGAACUUCAGUUUUCUAAUACUCUGACCAUUAAGAAGUCCGCUUUUGCUCAAUUCAAUCAUCCCAUUCUCACUCAUAUGCCUAAGGCGCAUAUGCCAAAGUCUAGUAACAUCACCAUCUAAUAAGGAAGAAGUAGCAACAAUUACAUCACUUAUAACUGUGGAUCCCUACAAGACAUAUAAUUUGGUAGAUCUUUUCUGCCAUUUCAUCACAACAAGAACACAUUUACUAACCUUUAAGACUCCACCUUCACCAGUAUACUUGUACCCUUUUGAAUCAAGAGUACUCAAUGAGAUAAAGUUCCUCUCUAGAUUUGGAAUGUGUCUCAUAUCACCAAACAUAGAUGAACAUUCAAGAAUAAAGAUUAGAAUUAGAUUUGAACCCAAACAUCAUUUAAAUAAGAGAUUGUAUAGGUCAUUAUGGAAGAUUAUUAUUAAAUUUGGCCCGAAAAAUAAAUCUCUUACAUUUUACUCCCUACUAUACUUACCACCAGCCUAAAAAGAAGAAAUGUGGGCCUAAUGAGGGGUUUUUUUUUUUUUUUGUUGAUAUUUUCCAUUUAUAUAACUAACUUGAACAAUGUUGUACCCUUAAAAGUAGAAAAGAUCCUUGUAGUAUUCUUUGGUUUAUUAUGGUUAUGUUUGGUUAUGAGAAAAUUUAAAGGAAAAUGUGAAGAAAAUAAAAUAGAAAAGAAAAAUAAAAGGAAAGAAAAUUAAAAAUGGGUUUAAAUUCAAUGAAUUAUUUUUAUAUGCUUCUCCAAAUUCAUUUCACUUUUUUUUCUUCAUUAUAGUAAGAUUAAAUAAUUUAAAAAUAUAUAAAAUUUUAACUAAUUUUAUUUUAUUUUGUAUUUUUUCAUAAUGAAACUAAAUAUAAGAAAACUAUUUUUCUUAACUUUUUUUUCUUAAUAUUUUCCGGAGACUAAAUAUAGCCUAGAUGUAUCUAGUAGAAAGAUCCAACAUGGGGUUGGAAAAAAAUCAUAGAAGAAGAUAUAUCUUGAAGGGGAGAUCAAAGGAUAUUAAAUGGGACUAUGACCCACACCUCCUAGAUUUAUGGGCUGCUUAAUGGAACAAACCAGAUUUUUAUCCACCAUAUUGAAUAUUGAAUAUGGUAUUCUUCCAAUUAUUAAAUGUAUUUAGCGAAAAGGUCCAAUUGUUAGUAAAAGAAGAACAGGUCAAACUAUCGUAUUAGGGUGCUAUGAGUGAGAUUGUGAUUACAUCAACUUUUAAUUAUUUAGAAUAUUGUCCAUUAUAUAUUUUAAAUUUUUAUAAUAUUAAUUUAUUUUAUUGAUUAAGAAUUAGAAUUUAAUGUAUACUUAACAUUAAAAUCUUAUAUAGUUCCAAUUUCAUACAAGUAACUAAAUUUUUUAUAUUGAUCUCAUCUCUGCACCCAAAUGCCCAUUUCCUCUUGAAGAUUAAAAAUUAAAAAUAAAAAUUAAUCCAUCUAACAACCAAGUUAAAAUGUAUUUAUAUAUCAUAAAAAAAUCAUCACCGAAUAAACCAAUAACCAUAAAAAUAAAAAUGGAAAAUCAUCGAUAAAUAAAUCAAAACAAAAUAUAAAAAGAAAUUAAUAUUUUCAUGGUUGAUUAACCCUAUGAGUUGGAUGAUAAAAGCGUUAAUAUCGAGUGGAAAGGAGACUUUGACUCACCGGUCGUUGGGCCUCAGGUCUGCCACUGCCUGUUUUGGAUGGCUAUAAGAUUAUUGAUGGGCUGCUUAAACGCUGCUUAUGAGUUAUGGGUAACAUGAAAAUUUCAACCAGAAGGUGGUCUGCUAAUCUUGUUUUCUUGCUUAUUUCUUCAGGUUUUCACUGGCAAUUUGUUGAUGCAUUUACAGAUGCAAUCUUACAAGGUCAAUCACUCACAACCUCUCAGACCAUCGUAUCCGCUGGUGGUAACUUUGAAUUAGGUUUCUUUUCUCCUGGAAAGUCCACAAAAUACUAUGUGGGGAUAUGGUACAAGAAAAUCUCAGAGCAAACCAUUGUGUGGGUAGCUAACCGAGACUAUUCAUUCACAAAUCCAUCCGUGGUUCUUACUGUCAGCACAGAUGGCAACCUCGAGAUUUUGGAGGGGAAGAUUUCGUACAAGGUGACAAGCAUAUCAUCAAACAGCAACACUAGUGCCACCCUGUUGGAUUCUGGAAAUCUUGUUUUGAGAAAUAAGAAGUCAGAUGUCUUAUGGGAGAGCUUUGACUAUCCAUCGCA